rnacentral:lncRNA from 1 species
UAUUAAAAAUUCAUAACUGCAAUGGAUUGAGGUCACUGCUUCUGGUGUUCCAACAUCUCACUUUCCUUGAAGAGUUUGAAGUAAAGGACUGCAAGGAGCUGGAGUUAUCUGGAGCUGGCAUCCAAAUAUUCCAAGAUCAUACAAGCCUGCGCUCUCUAUGGCUGCAAAAUAUUCCAAAGUGUCGGCAUCUUCCGGAGUGGCUUCAACAUCUAACAAAUCUGCAACGGCUUUAUCUCGUUAAUUUGCCCAAUUUAACAUCUCUUCCGGACGAGAUGCGUUGCCUAACCAGUUUGGAGUAUUUACAAAUACGAGAAAUUCCUCAGUUGGAGGAAAGAUGUCGGAAGGACAUUGGUGCUGAUUGGCGAAAAAUUGCUCACAUCCCCAACAUUCGGUUGAUUCAGGUUGGUCCGUCUUUGUUAUUUAUUUAUUUUGAUGACCUUAUCGUUUUUUGAAGAAAAAUAAGAGUGGUAUAUUGAAUCUCCAAGUCAGGGGUCUGAUGCCAUUUUUCAUUGAAGUUGGAUACUGUUAAUUUCCUUGUUAAAAUCCCUUUGUUUUAAGCCUACUUUUUACUUAUCAUCUUUCAUAAUAUUUUUGCUGAUUUGUGCAGAAAGGCAUUGGAGGAAGGCAUUAGUGAACUUCAAUCAUUUUAUAUGCAUAAAAAGAGGUGCUAAUUUAUCUAUUUGCUUUUUACUUUUAAAUCAUAAUAAUAACUUGACAAUUGCUUCUAAUAAUUUAAUUCUAAAAAACCAUUGAUGUGGAGAGAGAGGCCUAUGAAGCCUUGAAAAUGGUUGUACUAUAUGCUCUGCUUUCUUCAUUUAAGCACUUACCUAUCAUAUCUUUAUAUAUAUUUAUGUUUUCUCUUAAUAUAUGCCAACUGAUUACUAUAUUAGAUGGUACCUGUGAUACUGACAGGCUUUUGGAGGUAUUCAAAUUCAUAAUAUUCAUUCAUGCAGGGCACUCUUUUAGCUGUUUGGAAUUCCAGCCAAAUUUGUUAUUGAAGGUCCAAACAGGAAAAAAAAGGAAGAUGCUUCAGAAUAUUUGGUGGUGAGGUUGAAGUUGAUGAAAUGUUUCAUUAUUUAUAUAUCAACAGCAAUAUACUGAACACACAUAUGUGCAAAUAUAAGGCUGAUAAUAAUGGGAUUUGUAACAUAUUCUAUGUUGGCAUUUGUAAUUUUCAGGUUCAUUGAUGCUUUUGGAAGAGUCGUUGUUCAAGCAUGGCAAUUGCCAGACAUAUUACAUUUGAAAAUUUAUGAUUCUACUUUACAUGGAGCUUUUUAAGAGCUUGAUUCAUAGUAGGAAAAUUAUCUGAGUAUUGAAUGUGAAUUUUCACUAGCAUAGCUAAAAUGAGUUGGAGAGAAUUUACUUCAUUGUACAAAAGUGAGAUUGCAUCAAGUGUUUGAGGGUUUAAGCUUAAAUAAUUUCAUUGUACUAUGAAGUUCAUAGUGGAUUCAUCUUUAGGCAAAGCCUCGCAGACGUAGGACAAGUUCCGAACUGCGUAAACAUCUUAAUUGUGUUCUUUAUUUUUCUUGUUGCAUAAUAUGUACCAACUCAAGAAAAAACACAUUUUUAAUGUUCCAAACAGUACUCAAAUGCAGGGAUGCACAAUUGAUUAUGAGACAAUAAUUGUUUUCGACGGUAUUCCAAGGAUAUGUUCAAUUAUAAUGCUUGGAUUAGGACCCUUCCAAAAGAUGUCGAUUUCCUGCCUGUAUAUACAUAUGACUUGUGUGUUGAUGCUUAUGUUGGCAUACAUUAAAUUACAAGUUGAAUAACACCUUGUUAUUUGUUCUUGUCGUUUAAACAAAACAUAAGGCUUUUCCUUUGGAAUCUCGAUGCGAUGAGGUACUGCAAUCCUCGAAAGGAAGGAAGGACAUGGGCAAUGGCAGGGGUGUUUCUUGGUGAGCUAAGGAAAUCAAUGUCUCCUAUGAGGAUUCUAGCCCAUCAAUUCCCUCUAUAUAGCAACAAUGAACCUGCAAACUAUAAAUAUCAAUAUACAGUAUGAUAAAAUUGAUGUCGUAUAGACCGAGCAGUGUCCAAAUGUAGAAGAAACACAUACCCUUACUAAAAACAUAACUCCAUAUUUUGUGCACAAAUGGUGGCCAAACACAAAUCCGUUGUCUAUGCUUUUUGAUUCCAAGUUUAAGAAAGGGCCAAACAUUGGGCAUCCUCAUCCUCAUCUGUAAUAGUAACAAAUUCACAUUCCCAUUAGUGUUUACACCUCAAAACUCAAUUCCAACUUGAUCAAAUUUACUUUCAAAACAUAACUUGAUUCAAGAUAAAAAUAAACUUGGACUUCUUUACCUAGCAAAAGAUGAACAUGAUUCUCAAAAAUCCAAGGUUUUCGAAGACGGACCAAUAGUAAAACUGAUCAGCGUGUAAAAGCCAUAACUACCGUGCUUGGUUUGGUGGAUAGUUUACAAGUUAUUGAAGGCCUUAGAAUCCAAACAUUACCAUAGUUUUCAUACCCUUUGAAAUCAUAAGCAUACCAUCUUCAUUCAAAUCACUGACAUGCCCAUUCUGAUUUGAAGUACAUCCAAGAAACCAAAAUAAAAAAUGAAAUAAUAGAAUUUCCCACUUAAUCUAAGAUUCAUCAAACUCUUGAUUUGGAAGAGAAUGAAUCUUCCAAUGAACUUGUGAGAUUUUCUAACAUUUUGAUUUAGUUUAGACAAUUCAAGUGUAUAAUUAAUCAAAAUUCUCCACUUCCUCCAGUACAACAAAAAUCCCUGCAUAAAGCAUCCAUCAAUUUUAUACCCUUCUAAAACUCAAAGAUUAAACUUCACACAAAUAAACUAAUACCAAAGAAGAAAAGAUAGUCUACAAAAGCAGAAAAGGAAAACCUUACCAAACUGGACUUAGGGCCCGUUCUCCUUUGCGAUAGAAAAAGACUUUUUCAAUAAAAAGUCAUUUUCUCUUAAAAGGAACGAAGAACGGCCUCCAUUUCGGAAAAAAAAUCGCCAUCGGAGAAGUCCUUUUCUCCAGAUGAAGAAGUUAAAAUUUUCUCCUUUUCUUCAGCCAAAAGUGCUUUUGGCUGAUAAUUUCCAUUUUUCUCCCCCAAAAACUGUUCUUCCCUCUGGUUCUUUGCCUGAAAUAUCAAGUUCUUUGCCUUUGUUUCUUUUCCUCAGGUUCAUUGAUGCUUUUGGACGGGUCGUUGAUCAAGCAUGACAAUUGCCGGACAUAUUGCAUUUGAAAAUUUAUUAUUCCACUUUACAUGGAGCUUAUUAAGAGCUUGAUUCAUGGUAGGAAAACUAUCUGAGUGUUGAAUGUGAAUUUUCACUUGCAUAGCUAAAAUGAGUUGGGAGAGAAUUUACUUAAUUGUACAAAAGUGAGAUUGCAUCAAGUGUUUGAGGGGUUAAGCUUAAAUCAUUUCUUUGUACUAUGAAGUUCAUAGUGGAUUCAUCUUUGGGAAAAGCUCCGCAGACGUAGGACAAAUUCCGAACUGCGUAAACAUCUUAAUUGUACUCUUUAUUUUCUUAUUGCAUAAUACGUUCCAACUUAGGAAAAAACACAUUUAUGUUUUUUUAGUGUUUCAAACAAUAUUCAAAUGAAGGGAUGCACAAUUGAUUAUGAGAAAACAAUUUUUUUAGACAGUAUUCCAAGGCAAUGUUCAAUUAUAAUGCUUGGAUUAGGACCCUUCCAAAAGAUGUCGAUUUCCUGGCUGUAUAUACAUAUGACUUGUGUGUUGAUGCUUAUGUUGGCACACAUUAAAUUAUAAGUUGAAUAACACAUUUGUAAUUUGUUCUUGUCGUUUAAACAAAACAUAAGGCUUUUCCUUUGGAAUCUCGAUGCGACGAGGUACUGCAAUCCUCGAAAGGAAGGAAGGACAUGGGCAAUGGCAGGGGCGUUUCUUGGUGAGCUAAGGAAAUCAAAGUCUCCUAAGAGGAUACUAGCCCAUCAAUUCCCUCUAUAUAGCAACAAUGAACCUGCAAACUAUAAAUAUCAAUAUAAAGUAUGAUAAAAUUGAUCUCGUAUAGACCGAGCAGUGUCCAAAUGUAGAAGAAACACAUACCCUUACUAAAAACAUAACUCCAUAUUUUGUGCACAAAUGGUGGCCAAACACAAAUCCGUUGUAUAUGCUUUUUGAUUCCAAGUUUAAGAAAGGGCCAAACAUUGGGCAUCCUCAUCCUCAUCUGUAAUAGUAACAAAUUCACAUUCCUAUUAGUGUUUACGCCUCAAAACUCAUUUCCAACUUGAUCAAAUUUACUUGCAAAACAUAACUUGAGUCAAGAUAAAAAUAAACUUGGACUUCCUUACCUAGCAAAAGAUGAACAUGAUUCUCAAAAAUCCAAGGUUUUCGAAACCAGACCAAUAGUAAAACUGAUCAGGCCACCAAUUCAUUGGUUCAACAGGUGCAAUUAAAUAAAUCAUUAAAAAAUUCAUAAAAAAUAAAAACCUGAUUCAACUGCCAGGUUCAACCAGUGUUUUGCCCAAUACAAUCAUCCAUACCGGUUCCUAGGUCAAUCAAUUCAAUGCCUUUCUCCGAACCAGGAUCCUAGUCCGGUUCAAAUAACCUUGACUAAACCUAAAAAACUAUUUAAGUUCGGAUUUCAAUUGGUAUUCACAAUUUUAGUUCAAAAAAGAAAAACCCUUAAUGUAAGCUUACAAACCACUCUAAGUCAGACAUUAAGAUAUUUAAAUUCGGCUUACUCAAUAGCCCAAAUUCCGCUAACAUUAGCAAAACCAAAACACGAAAUUCUCAACUGUAAAUAAGUUAGAGAUAAAUUUCAAUCAAAAAGUGAAAAAACAUGAAGGAAGCAAUAGAAGUAGAAAAAUUACUGGAUUCAUAUAAUCAUAUGAUUAUUUAUAGAUGCCAUUGGUCAAUACCUCAAAUAUACAAUGGACCGAUUUCGUACAAACAACAAGAUUGAUCCAAUGAUUAUCAUCACGAUGCACCAAUUCUACACAUCCACAUUUAGUAAGGCUGCUUUUUCAAUUUUGAUAUGUAAAACACUAAUGACUAAUUAAGCAACUCAGAUAAAGAAAAGGAUGUUGUUAAUGUGCAUAUAUAACCAGAUUAGAUAGACCAGAAUUCCGAUGCCGACACUUUUUAUUUCUAUAACUAAAACCAUGGGAUAGGAAAAAUAGCUCAACCCUGAAGAAAAUUGGAAUAACCCUAGCUGGCAUUUGUUCUGCAGAAUUUUGUCACGAAAAAUAAUCUUACCUAUUGAGUUGAUUUAAAAUCAGAAGAUGGCACUUCGGUCAUUCUAGAAGGUGGAGUUUCUGGCCUUGGUGUACGACCUCAGCCAUUCCAAAGUCUGAAUGAAGCGUAUCUACUCCGCUCCCUUCAACAGUUGUCAUUCUAUGAGUUAAGGAUUACACAUUCACCUGUUGGACCUCAGAAUGUAUAAAUAAGUUUGUGUGCUUUUUUCCUGCCUUUGGGGGGUUAAGCAGAUAGAUUAGCUAAAAUUUAUAGAAGGAUACAGUCUUUCAUCCACAUAUCCAUAAUGCUAAAAUCGGCAUCUGAUAGAAGCCAAUAAUCCGCAUCAUUCUGAAAACAAGGGCAAAAAAAGUUAAUAGACAAAAUUAUCAAUUUUGCUGCAAGAUGAAGUCCUAGGGGGAGAAGGUGUUUGAAUCUUGGACCUUACCCUCCUAAGAUGGGUAACCAAGGCUUCUAAUGAAUUAUUCCAGAUGACCUAAAUUCAUAAAUAAUCUUUGACAUGAACCACUGUCCAUAUAUAUGAUGUUUGUAAAGCUUGGCUAGUGUAAUAACUGGUCAAGAAAAAUGGCACUUACGUCCGUAUCCGACGGAACAAUUCUCAUCAUUCCCCCAACAGACUAUUGUGCAGCAUUUAUAUCAGAGCAGAUCUGAUGAGUUUGCUGUGCCUGUGGUUCAAUCUCCUUUCAGAUGCUCACUGUAUUGACCAACUCAACUUGGUUUUCAUUAGAGCCAGAACUUGAAGCAAGUGGGACACUCAGAGGUUGUUCAACACCAUUCAUCUCUUCAAAUUUCUCCUCAAAUUGGCUGAGGAAGCAACAAUGGAAAAGAAAGACAUUAAAACAACCUAUCUUCUUAUCAUCAAUUAAACUUAUUCCAAAGAACACCUGACUAGGUAAACAAAAAUCGGACCCAUUGUGCUUCUAAGGAAUAUCCCGUAUCUCCUUUGUCGGUAAUCAAAAUCCUGUAAUAUAUAGGAGCAAUGUGACAAUGCGUUUAAAUCAUGAAAGUGGAAAAUGGUAGUAAGUCAUUAAAAUUCUCUAUGGCAUCUUACUUCAUCAGGAUCAGGUACUUCGAGAGUUGUUCCAUGUGGAGCUUUAAUUGCUAUCAGGCUUUCAUUCUGCUAAAACCAAGGUGUCUUGAAGAUUAGUAUCAAAUGCAGAAUAUCAUUGCAGAAGUGUUAAUUUAGAAGCAUGAAAUAAACGAACCUGAAAACAAGGUAUACCCUUGAUGUCCUCUUCAGUCACAAAAAGCAACCUGAAACAGUGUGAAGAUAUGUAAACGUAUAAAUUUUUUGCAAACAAUUAGCAGUUAAACUUCCAUUAAUUGGAUCACAGUGCAAGGCAGACAAGAAAAUUGUACUUCCGAUUAUUGUCAUUCUCACUCAAAUCCCUAAACCUUUCCUGCAUUUCUCUGCAAUAUUUUAGAAGCAUCAGCAGUACUAAACAGGUUCAAGACAGUAACAGUUGCUACUUUAACAAGAGAAUAAGCCAUGCACAACCUUAUUUGAUCAUCUAAUCUCCUCUCUUCCAUGGAAAGGUUCUAAAUUUCCUCCUGCAUUAAAGAAUAGAAAUUAAGCUCAUAGGUAUGAGAAAUAAGCAGCACAAAUCAAUCAAUCAGGAGUGAUUGAAAAUUCUCUUGAAAGUCAUUACCAAAAAUAAAGAAACAGAAAACAUCCUAUUGAAGCAAUGGUCAGCAUAGCAAUCACAUGUUUUAUUAUUAUUAUUAUUAUUAUUAUUAUUAUUUGGAUGUAAUGAUGUAACUUAGUUGUAUUCCAACUAAGUUUGUUAGUGGUAGUAAGUGGUGAUUUAUUGAUGAAACUUAGUUGUAUUCCAACUAAGUUUGUUAGUGGUAGUAGGAGGUGAUUUAUUUUAAGUGGAUGUAAUGAUGAAACUUAGUUGUAUUCCAACUAAGUUUGUUAGUGGUAGUAGGUGGUGAUUUAUUUUAAGUGGAUGUAAUGAUGAAACUUAGUUGUAUUCCAACUAAGUUGUCAAGUUGUAAGCUUGUAUAAAUAGGCUUUAUGCCAUUUUAAAAAAAAUGAAUAAAUUCAAUCAAGAUUUCAUCCAUAUACUCUCUAUUUGUAUAAAUAGGCUUUAUGCCAUUUUGUUUCUGCCGCAAGUCUCGAUUCUUGCUCGGCAAGCUUUUUGUUGAACCUUGCUAUUUGUUGCACUUAGCUCCAACAAUUGGUAUCAGAGCCUAUUUCUUAAGGGAUCUGUUAUACAAAUUCAUGGCUUCAUCAAGCUUUUCACCAGCUGCACCUCAAGUCUUCAAUGGAGAAGGCUACCACAUAUGGGUGGUUAAAAUUAAGACCUACCUACAAGCUUUCGAUCUGUGGGAGGUAGUCAACUCAGAUGUUGAACCAGAGCCACUUAGAGGCAAUCCAACAGUGGCUCAAAUCAGGCAGCAUGCUGAUGAGAGGACCAAGAGGCACAAAGCCAUGUCUUGCAUCCAGAACUCAGUGUCAGAUGUGAUUUUUACAAGGAUUAUGGCCUGUGAAUCACCAAAACAAGCCUGGGACAAGUUGCAAGAGGAGUUUCAAGGGACAGAGAGGACAAGGCAGCAACAGUUGCUGAACUUAAGGAGAGAUUUCGAGAAUUUGAAGAUGAAGGAAGAAGAAACUAUCAAGCAAUACUCUGACAGGAUUAUGGCUGUGGUUAACAACAUUAGGCUCCUUAGAGAGCAGCUCAAGGAAGCUAGGAUAGUGGAGAAGGUUAUUGCAACUUUGCCCGAGAGGUAUGAGGCAAAAAUCUCAUCUCUCGAAGACUCAAGGGACCUGUACACCAUCUCCCUGACAGAGUUGAUCAAUGCUUUAUAUGCUCAAGAGCAAAAAAGAGCAAGCAGACUGGAGGAGCAUCAAGAAGGUGCCUUUCAGGCAAGAACAAACACUGCCUACAAAGGCAAGAAGGCCUGGAGAGACAAGCCAAGGACUGAUGUUGCAAGAAAAGAGGGUCAGACUUGCAAGCACUGCAGAAGGGCUGGUCAUCCAAAAGAAAAAUGCUGGUUCAAUUCAGAUGCUGUAUUUCAGCAUUGUAAAAAGAAGGGUCAUGUUGAGAGAGUCUGCAAGAGCAAGGCUAAAUCAAGGCAGAGUCAGUUUCAACAGAUGAAAGCUGAGGCUCGAGUAGCUAAGGAGGACAGUGACCAAGAGGAGCAAGUCUUUGCUGUGUUAUGCUCAGCUGCUCAAGAAAGGUUCUCAUCUGGUUGGCUUCUAGACAGUGGAUGCACCAACCACAUGACACCUGAUGCUGCAAUCUUCAAGUCUUUAGACAGAAGCUGCAGAACUAAAGUCAAGAUAGGAAAUGGACAUUUUAUUCAAGCUGAAGGCAAGGGUGAUGUGCUGAUAUGCACCCCCACAGGUGCCAAAGUGAUUUCAAAUGUGCUUUUGGUGCCUGAAAUUGACAGAAACCUGCUCAGCAUAGCUCAGUUGCUGGAGAAAGGUUAUUCUGUUGUGUUCAAAGACAACCAAUGCCAAAUCAAUGAUCCAAGUGGAUCCAAGCUGAUGGCAGUUCCUAUGGCUAAUAAGAGCUUUGUAGUUGACUAGACCAGGGAGUCAGACAUUGCCUACACAGUCACAUCAGAUGAAUCCAAGCUUUGGCAUCAAAGACUGGGACAUGCCAACUUCAGAUCGAUGGCUCGAAUGGUCAGAGAGGACUUGGCUGAAAACUUCAUCAACUCAGUGGAUCAUGAUGAUGUGUGUGAAGUGUGUCAGCUAGGAAAGCAGGCCAGACUCCCAUUUCCCUCGAAUCAAGCCUGGAGAGCCUCUGAAAAACUCCAACUGGUGCACACUGAUGUGUGUGGCCCUAUGAGGACUAAGUCAUUAAGUGGAAACAGGUACUUCAUACUGUUCAUUGAUGAUUUUUCAAGAUAUUGCUGGCUUUACUUCCUAAAACAGAAAUCAGAGGCGGCCUCAGUGUUUUGGAAGUUCAAGACUGCUGCUGAGACUGAAACAGGUUGCAAACUGAAGUCCAUAAGGUCUGAUAAUGGGACUGAGUACACCUCAGCUCAGUUCCAGGCCUUCUGUGAUAAGGCAGGCAUCAAACAUCAACUUACCAACACAUAUACACCUCAGCAAAAUGGUGUAAGUGAAAGGAAGAAUAGGAGUUUGAUGGAUAUGGCCAGCUGCUUGAUGAUUCAGAAGAAUCUGCCUAAAGCACUAUGGGCAGAGGCAGUUAACACUGCAAACUACAUUCAAAAUAGGCUUCCAACCAAGGCCUUGGAUCAGAAGACUCCAUUCGAAGCCUGGUUUGGAUUCAAGCCAUCACUGGCUCAUCUGAAGGUCUUUGGAUGCAUCUGUUAUGCUCAUGUACUUGCUGUCAAAAGGGACAAAUUGUCUGAAAGGGCUCGACCUGGUAUUUUGGUGGGCUACAGCACUGUUAAGAAGGGCUAUAGGAUCUUGGAUCCUUCAACAAAGAAAGUGUCAAUCAGUAGGGAUGUGGUAUUUGAUGAAAAGUCAUGUUGGAACUGGGAAAAACAUGAACCUGAGGAAGUUUCAGGAGGACUUGCAGCAGAUCAAGCUGAGCCAGAUCAAAAUGUUCCUGAAAUGGACAUUGAUGAUGAACCAGUUAGAGGAACAAGACCAUAGACUGAGAUUUAUGAAAGAGCUCAUGUAGCCAUAGCUGAACCAAGCAAUUUUGAAGAGGCUGAAGCUCAGCAAGAGUGGAAGCAGGCAAUGGCUGAGGAGAUUAGCAUGAUUGAGAAGAACCAGACCUGGGAAUUAGUUGAAAGGCCAGUCAAAAGGAAGAUAAUUGGGGUGAAAUGGGUGUACAAAGCCAAGCAAAAUGCUGAUGGUACCUUGAACAAACUGAAAGCAAGGCUAGUUGUCAAGGGGUUCAGUCAGAGGUAUGGCCUGGACUACCUGGAGACCUUUGCACCAGUGGCCAGGCUAGACACCAUCAGAUUACUGAUUGCCUUAGCAGCACAGCUCGAGUGGAAGAUCCAUCAACUCGAUGUGAAAUCAGCCUUUCUGAAUGGUUUCUUAGAUGAAGAGAUCUAUGUUGAACAACCACAAGGGUUUGAGAUAGCUGGCAGAGAGCAUAUGGUCUACAAACUGAAGAAGGCCCUAUAUGGUUUAAAACAGGCUCCAAGGGCCUGGUACAGCAGAAUCGAUGGCUACUUGACUAAUUUGGGAUUCGAUCGAAGCAAGAGUGAGCCAACACUGUAUGUCAAGAAGCAAGGGACACAAACACAGCUCAUUGUAUCCUUAUAUGUUGAUGACCUGCUGGUGACAGGAGGAGAUCGAGCAGUGCUGGUCGAUUUCAAGACCAAGAUGCAAGAAGUAUUUGAAAUGUCUGAUCUAGGGGAAAUGUCUUAUUUCCUUGGAAUGGAGGUGACUCAAGCACAAAAUGGGAUAUUUUAAGUCAGAGAAACUUUGCCACAAAGAUUCUGACCAAGUUCUCCAUGCAAAACAGUAAAGCAACUAAAACACCUGUUGCUGUUGGAGAAAAACUAUCGAGCCAAGGUGAUUUUGAGAAGGUUUGUGAAACAACCUACAGAAGUCUAGUUGAUUGUCUGUUAUAUUUAACUGCCACUAGACCAGACAUAAUGUAUGCUGUAGGAUUGCUCUCAAGGUUCUUGCAUUGUUGCAAUAAAAAACAUUUACAAGCUGCUAAGAGAGUGCUUAGAUAUGUCAAAGGCACUUUGAGCUAUGGUUUAAGGUACAGCAAGGAAGGAAAUCUGAAGCUGGUUGGCUACACUGAUAGUGACUGGGCUGGCUCGAUAGAUGACAUGAAAAGCACCUCAGGGUAUGCUUUCAACCUUGGUUCAGCCAUGUUUUGCUGGAGCUCGAAGAAGCAAAGUCUGGUGGCUCAAUCUACUGCUGAAGCAGAAUAUGUGGCAGCUGCAAGUGCUGUCAACCAAGCCAUUUGGCUAAGGAAAAUCUUAGCUGAUUUGAAAGUGCAUCAAAAGGAAGCUACUGAGAUCUUCUGUGACAACCAAUCUUCAGUUGCAAUUGCUAAAAAUCCAGUGUUCCAUGGAAGAACAAAGCAUUUCAGCAUCAAGUUGCAUGUUGUUCGAGAAAUGGAGCAAGCUCAGGAAGUGAAGCUGAUCCAUUGUAAUUCUGAGGAUCAACUUGCAGACAUUUUGACUAAAGCCCUUAAUGUCACAAGGUUCGAAUGUCUAAGAAGGAAGCUAGGUGUUUGCUCCAUGCAAACCAAGGAGGAGUAUUGAAGCAAUGGUUAGCAUGUAGCAAUCACAUGUUUUAUUAUUAUUAUUAUUAUUAUUAUUAUUAUUAUUAUUUGGAUGUAAUGAUGUAACUUAGUUGUAUUCCAACUAAGUUUGUUAGUGGUAGUAAGUGGUGAUUUAUUGAUGAAACUUAGUUGUAUUCCAACUAAGUUUGUUAGUGGUAGUAGGAGGUGAUUUAUUUUAAGUGGAUGUAAUGAUGAAACUUAGUUGUAUUCCAACUAAGUUGUCAAGUUGUAAGCUUGUAUAAAUAGGCUUUAUGCCAUUUUAAAAAAAAUGAAUGAAUUCAAUCAAGAUUUCAUCCAUAUACUCUCUAUUUUAGCUUUGCUUAAAAUUUAUUUCAUUUUUCUUCUUUGUUUCUGCCGCAAGUCUCGAUUCUUGCUCGGCAAGCUUUUUGUUGAACCUUGCUAUUUGUUGCACUUAGCUCCAACACAUCCUAAUGAACCAUAUCAAGAAAAUUGGUUGGCUGGAUGUCAAUGAAAUGAAAAUUGACAUUACUUUCACGUACCUGUAUUACAGAGACAUCGCUAUCUGUUUCUCCUGGCUUUGAAGCACCAACACGCCUAGGAAAUUUGAUUAAUCCUCAAAUAAGUCUCACAUUUUUCAAAGGUUAACCAGAAUGAAAACCAAAUUAAGACAUCAAAUUCUUGAAAAAUGAUUAACAUCAUCAGUAAUUACUUCCACUGUAUUCUGUUUUUUAACUUCUUUUCGAUAAGACCAAUGCCCUCCAAGACAUUUGUUAUAUCAUAUAUCCUCCUCUUCUGCACCUGUUACAACAUUUACAGGGAAAAAUAAAAGACAAAAGAACCCUUUAAGUAACAUGAAAAAAUACUCAACAAACACCCAAUGAUACAUAAGCUCACUAGUAUGUCACUACCUCCAAUGUUUCUGCAGCCUUAUUUAGGUCAAGGAUACCAUCUUCAGCAUGCUUCAUCAGAUUGACAAACUUUUUCGCCAAGGUAUUGAUGAUAGAGCCGUGAAGUGAACCAUAAGUUUCCUUCUAUGGACUAAGCCAGUAGGAAAUAGUAAUAUAGUAUCGCACCAGCAUUUGACACUGGUGUGUGAGGCAUUGAUUUAUUGGCUUUUGAUGUCUUUGAUCUAUUAUUUAUCCUUCCUCCUUUAGCAUAUACAGGUGUCUGGAAAGGACUGUUGGAUAUGCUGGUAACCCCCAGACUGCUUGUCCAUUGGCUAGACUCAACAUCAUUUUUGUCUGCUGCACUCUUCCUUUUUAAUUGCUGAGAAAAAUCAGCAAUAUUUCAAAGUACUGCCAAUGGCAGGCAAAAUUACAAGGUCCCUUAGUAUUUGUGCACGGUUAUAUCUAAAUUAACAACCAAUUGAAUUGAAGAAAAUAAAAUAAAAAAGAGCAUAAGUUUAACAAAUGCAUAUGUACGAGAGCUUGUACAAGAAAACUUACUGUUAGCCAUAAGAACCAUCAGAAAUGUUUCGCUACUUGAUUCAAAAGUUAAUCCACAAAGGCCAAAACUCAAAGAGAUAAAUGCCAUGAAAAAUCAAGUAAAGUAACUAGUAAUUCACUUGUUAUCGCGUUGAAGACAAUAAAGAAAAAGAAUAUAAUAUAUGAAUAUAAUUUUGUCCGGAAAACUAGCAGAGCAGUCGUAUUAUACAUAAGGGGGGAAACUAUAGUGAUAGACAUUAUGGAUAUCAACUGAAUCGUUUUUCAAACAUCCAUCAAAAGACAAAACAUCAAAAGAACUAACACCCAUUAAGCUUUCUUCAUGUAGAGCAUGAGGCCAGCAUUCAUUCAAUUUCAACUUAGUACAGCAAACGAGCACUUUAAUCUACCAAAACUCCACUAUAUCAUCAAAUACAUCAUCACAAACGGAAAUACCUCACACAUUAAAAUACAGACAUCACAAUUUCACUGCAGAAACAAAUAAUGCUACUCAUAAUUUAUCCCCUAAGAAACUUAGCCACCAUGAAAAGCUCUAUUCGUGAACAGAUUGAAAGAUCACACACACAAAAAAAAGAAAAGAAAAGAAAAGAAAAAGCAAAUGACAUGAAGCGUUAAGUGAGAGUACAAUUCUCAUCAAAAUUGAAAUAAUAUACUACUAAUUACAUGACAGCCACCGUUUUCAAAAGAGAAUUUUUAAACUCACUGGAGAUCUCACAACAAUUGCUCCAACUUCUUGAUCGGCGACGAUUCCACGACUAUUACUAGAUGAAAAUCUGUGAUAAUCAUCGGGAUGAACAAACGGCGGCUUCGUCGAAUCGAAGGCCAGGUGACGACGUAUCGGCGUAACAACCGGAGGAACCGUCGAAGCUGGUAGCGUUGAAGCCGUAGGAGGAGGUUGAUACGGCAGCGUGAGACCAUCCCGGACAUGGAGGUUUAAGUUCAGACAUUAGAGAGAGUAGAAAAGGAGGGAAAAGAGAGGGAAUCUUUUGUAUAUAAUUAUAAGUUAAUGUGCUAAUUUCAUUUGUUUUUACCUUUUUGAACUCUUACUUUUUUCAAUUUUUCAAUUUCAUCCUAAAAUAAAAUUCAAAUACAUAUAUAAGGGUUGAAGUACCGGUAUUAUAAUUAUAGGGACUGCAUACAAAUUAGUUCCUCUAUCGUUAAAUGGUUAAUUUAUUAUCUGUACUAUUAAAAUUGAUCUAUUAAUGUUAAAUCUCUUAAAAUUUAACCUUAUUUGGUUCCUUUUAGUAGUAGUAGAAUAAAAUUAGUUCAUUUAAUAAUAGAGGGACUAAUUUUAAACUUUCCAAAUAUUUAACCCUUAUAUAAGCUAAAAUAUUAUUUUUUUUAAAAAAUUAAUCAAUAGACUUGUCUAUAAUAUUAUUCUUUUAAUAUUAAAAAUUAAUAAUUUAGUAAUAUUUAUAUAUUUUUUAUUAUCUUGUUAAAUAAGUAAUUUAGUGAGUUUGAAUAUUGUAGUGGUGAGAUUAAAUUUAAUUGUGGAAUAUGUAUUUCAAUUCAAAUGCAGAUGUAGCAAUGAGAUAAAAAUAGAAAAUUACUAUUAAGAACAUUAAGUUAAAACGUAUGUAUAUGUAAAAUAAAUAAUUAAUAAUAUAUUUAAAAAUAAAAUAUUUUAAAUAAUAAUUAAAAAUAUCAAAACUAUGUUUAUAUUAAAAAAAUAAUUAAAGUUAUAUUUUAUAUUAAAUUAAGAAUUAUAUGUUUUAAUUUUUUUGUUAAAUUAGUAGUUAAAAUCACUAAAAAAUUUAUUUCAUUAUUAUUUACUUUCAAACUUUUAUGUUUGAAUUUGUUAUUGUUGCACUAUUUUAAUUAUGUACCACAAUUUGAAUAAUAUUAUUUUUGCAUUAAUUACAUAAAAUAAAAAUAUAUUAUUCAGUGAAUAAAAAAUAUAUAAAAUCACGUAUAAUAAUAUUCAAUGAAUAAUAUUAUUUUUCUCUUUAUUUUCCUUAUCAAAACACAACUAAUUUUCAAUAAUGUAACAAGGUGAAAGCCUAAUUCCAAGCAUUCAAAUAAACUAUAUAACUAUAAGAGAAGAAAUGUAGCCAAAUUUGGAAUUAAAAUUUUCAAAAAUUUUAAACAGCUUAAUGAGAAUUUCAAUAAAAGGGUCUAAUUAAAAUUUAUAAAACUAUUAAAGGGUUUAAAUAAAUUUAAAAGAAAUUGAGGAGUCUAAUUAAAAUUUUUUUUAAAAAUUGAAGGCUUAAUGAAAAUUUUCCAAAUUUAGGGGGUGGGGGCAAGGGGAGCUUUGGCUCUUGUUACGUUUUGUCCCAAGUAAUUUUUUUUAAGAGAGAUCUAUUAAUUCAUUCAAUAAAUAAAUGAACAAUUCAAGAAAAAAAAUAUCAAACACUCGUACGCCCUAAAGAACAAGCUCCAUCAAUAUAAUAAAAACUUCAGCUUCAGCAUCAAUAGAACAUUAUGGCACGUUGACAAUGGGCUCUGUCACAACUCAAGCACAACAUAUCAGAAGCGAUUACAAGCACUUAAUACAAUAAGAAAAUCAACCCUAGAUGGUCCAAAGCGGCGAGCAUAAAUCGGCAAAAGAACCAAGCAUCUACCAAACUAGAGAAGACAAUGACUAAACCAACCCUAAAAGUAUUUGCAAAACCAAAACUAAAUGCAUAAUAAAGACUAAAAAGCAUAUUAUAAGAGUAGGCAAAACUUUUAAAAGUGAAUACUCAUUAAACAAUAAAAAAUAAAUAAAAACAUAUAAAACGUAAGAUAACACGAGUCAUGAAAUCAUUUAUUAUUUUGAAACUCUCAAAACAGAAACAUAUUAAGAAGUCAACGAAGAGCUACCUACUUUCUAAAAGAAACUAUCGGUAGUUGAUGGUAUUUCAAACGAUGAAAGGCACCGUCAUCUAUCCAUCCCAACUUGUGAAGACAACAAAAAUAACCACAAAUAGAUCUGUAAACUGAAAGAAAGAUAAGAUGCAUGGAAUAAAUAAGAAGAAGAAAGAAAAGAAGGGUUUAUGUGUAGAAAAAACAGGCGGGCGGUAGCUAACCCGUUCUGCCCCUGAGUAAUUUUUGAAACUAUACAAAUCAUACUUAAUUAUAAUUAUAUGUUUUUGUAUUUAAAUCAAAUUAGAUUGCAUUAAAAAAACAAUUUAUGUAAGGUUCGAUUGAAUUAAUGAAAAUUUGAAAAAGAAAAAAAAAAUUCUCAAGAAACAUUACAUGGAAAUGUAACUUUUUUAAUCUCUAAAAUUGUAUUGCUAAGUGGACCUUAAUCGAAGAUGCAAGAAUUAAAGAAAUAAGGUUUAAAUUCUGUCAUAGAAAUUCUGAAAAAAAAUUAACCUUAAUGUAUCGAAAAAUAAUUUCACAAUUAUCUAGAAAUUGCAAACAUUUAGAUUUUGUUCACAUAUUAAUUGCAUUUUUUUUUCUAUUUCCUCCUAUUUACUAUAACAAAAUUAAAAUCCCCCAAGUCCUAUAUUUUUUUUGUAAAUUUAGAAUUUAGUUUGUAUAUUUUUAUUUUUAAGAAUUUAGUCAUUAUACUUUUUAAAUUUUAAAAUUCAAGUUCAACUGGUUAAAAUUAUUUUAUUAAAUUCAGGUUCAUUAAAAUGUCAUAUUCUUAGUUACAUGGCUACCAAGUAAGUAAAAUUUUUUUUUAUUUCAAACUGUCACACUAACAAAUUCAACAAAAAAAAAUUAACAGUACUAACAAUUGGACCUGAAAUUUGAACUCUAAAAAGUAAAAAAAUUAAAUUCCUAUAAGUAUAAGUAUAAAGACUAAAUUUCAAAUUUAUAAUGAGUACAAAGACAUAUGACAUAUUUUAACUUUAAAAAGGGUAACCUACUUUAGUAGUCACCCAAUUAAGUUUUUUUUUGGUCACUCAAUUAUGAAAAGUUACAAAAUAGUUACCAACGAUUCAAUUUUAUCAUUUUUAUCAUCAGUUGGCUAAUGAAAAUAUAGAAAACACCAAAAAUCCAAGAUAAUUGGGUGAAAAAAAAUGAAAAAAUAAUAGUUUAUUGAAUAUUUUGUAAUUUUUCAUAAUUAGGUAAAAAAAUACUAAUAAUUUAGUGAUUAUUUUGUAACUUUUAAAUAAUUGAAUGACUUAACGACGUCAAAUAGAAGACGAGAAAACAAAUUUAAAACAAAGAUAAACAAAAACAAUGUACUUAACGACGUUAUUUUUUUCUUCUCCAACCAAAACGCUGUCGCUUUGAUCUCCAAACGUAAUAUAAGCCGGACACCUUACAUCAAUAUGCUACCUCCCAGUUACUGCAGGGGACCAUUCAGAAAUUUGUGUCAAACAACGUUAAACAUGGUGGGACCAUUUCCAACCAAACAACAUUAUUUUCAUUUAAUAAUAAAUGUGUUAUUUGUAUUAAAUAUUCUCAAUUUAUUAUUUACUUUUAAAAAAAUUAAUUUAUAAAUUCUAAAAUAUUUUAAUUAAGUUUUGAAAGUAUUAAUAUUAUAUCAAUAAAAUUAUUUCAUUUUUAUAGUUGUCAAUUUAGCUUUUUAAAUCUCACUUCAGAUUUGACAUGAAUUAAAUUGUAAAUACUUGCGUACUCAUCAUAUUGAUAACUUGAUUCUAACAUAUUAAAAACACGAUGAGAUUAUAAAAUUUAAGAGGAUUAUUUCUUUUUUUUAACACAUUAGAUUCAAGUUGUCCGUAUAACAUGUACACACGUGUUUUAAGUAUGUCUCCUAUUAUAUUUGAGCGAACAUUUAAUGCUCAAGCUAACGGCUAAGUUAAUAGAAAAAUGGGAUAAAUCUCAAAACUAUAUAUAAACUUUGGCAUAAUAUGUAAUUUUAUACAUGAAAUUUCAAUUUAAUUAAAUUUUCACAAAUUAUUAACACAAUUAUUAAUAUAACAUCAUUUUAUGUUUAUAUAUUGCAUAAACAAAUAAUUAUGUUUAUCCACAACAAAAAUAAAUUGAUGUAUCUAUUUAUUUAAAUAUGUAUGGUUGAAUCAAAAUAAAAAUUUAUGUAUAAUUUUAAGAUUUAUCUCUAGAAAAAUCAAAUUGGUAUAAUUAUGAUAUCUUAAGAAUUCAAUUAGAAUGUUAUUUGGGUUAUAAUUUGCGAAUGUAUAGUGCAAGCAAUCAUUUUAUAUGUUUUAAUUUUAUUUAUCAUCUUAUUUUAAAGGAAAAUUAUUUCAUUCAUUACUAAUAAAGUUUAAAAAUUAAAAAAAAUAGAGUUAAAUGGAUAACACAUACCAAUUUAAAGUGAAGUAAAAUAAAUUUUUAAUGAAACUUGUGAUAUUAAAAUUUUUCAUUGAAAUGCUAAACUUAUUUAAAUAUAUAUUUUUUAGAGUUAAUGCACUAUUUGGACAUGAACUUGACAAUUGUUUUCAUAUUAGAGCUUGAACUUUUUUGUUUCAAGUUAGUCCCUCAAUUUGGAGAUUGUUUUCACGUUGGGGUCUUUUUUAUUUUUUUGGUUCAAGAUAGUCAUAUUUCUUUUAAAAAGUAUUCAAGACUACAAUAUGAAAACAAUUACAAAAUUUAGAAAUUAACUUGAACAAAAGAAAAGUCUAAGCUAUGGAACGACUUCCUAUUCUAAGCCUGUUUUGGUGUAGUGAAUAUGACAAUAAUUACUAAGUUCAAAAAUUAACUUGAACAAAAAAAAAUUCAAACCUCAAAGGGAGAAUCGUUGUCUAAUCUAAGCCUCAUUGUGGGAAUAAGUGUCAUAUUCAAAGAUUAACUUGGAUAAAAUAAUUUAAACCUUAAUAUAAGAACAAAUACAAAAUUUAGACCGCAAAUAGUGUUUGAAUUUGUUAUUUUCUUUUGUUUGCCUAAUCAAUUUUACAAUGCGAACUGGGGGUGGCUUUUAAUUUUGAGGUUUACAAAGUAGAAAAAAAUACAUUAUUUUUCUAUUGAAAUGUGUCGUUGACAUUAAGGGAGGGUUAGAUUCUUGUAAGUGAGUAUUUAAUAAUGAGGAAAAACUUUUUGGAUCCACAUCUGUGUUUCAUCUUGUUCCAAUCAUUUUCAUUGUCUUCUCUUGCAGUAAUCAAACACUUUUUGCUUUGAUUUCAGUUUGAACCAAUAAUGGCCAAAGCAAUUGCUUUCGACAUCGCCACAGAGCUCAUUACUAAGUUGAGCUCUCGUCCGCUCUCUCAAGUUGGACUAUGCUGGAAUCUCAAACAUGUCAUCGACGACCUCAAACGCAUUGUUCGUACAAUCAAAGCUGUGCUUCUUGACAUAGAAGAGAAAUUGGUGACCGACAAUCUCGUUAAAGUUUGGCUUGAAGAGUUGAAAGAUGUACUUUAUGAUGUUGACGACUUGUUCGAUGAUUUCUCUACCGAAGCUUUGCAAAAAGAUCUUAUAGGUGGGAACAAGCUAACAAAAGAGGUACGCCUUUUCUUCUCAAGCUCAAACCAGUUUGCUUACGGUCUUAGAAUGGGUCGUCAAAUUAAGGCCAUUAAAGCGAGGCUAACUCUUUUUAGAAGGGAGGCUAACAAUUUUGGCUUUAUGGUGUGUGACAGCUCGUGUCUUAGGCCGUGUAACUUUUGAAAUAGGGACACAUAGUCGUGUCCCAGCCCGUGUUCGUGUAACUCUCUGACUUGGGUCACACGGCCAAACCACAUGCCCGUGUGUCAGGCCGUAAAACUCUCGAAAUGGCCUCACAAGCCCGUGUGCCAAGCCGUGUGUUAGGCCAUGUAACAGCCUAACUUACAACCUAUAGGGGACACACGGCUGAGACACACGCCCGUGUCUUAGGUCGUGUGGACAAGAAAUUGACCAAAAUCAAGCCUUUUCCUUCACCAACCUCAAGUAUGUACCUAAUCACAUUUGCACAUAUGACCAAGGCAUCAAAACCUACUCAAAACAUACAUAAAAAUGACUAAUUCACUAUACUAUUAAUCCAUACAACCAAUAUGCCAAUAAGACACCUCAAUCUCAAACCAUCAAACAUACUUAAACAUGUGCAUAUUUGACCAUUCAUCAACCAUUCACCAACAAUUCACAUCUAACUUAUUUCCAUACCAAAACUUAUCACAAUUGACCAUAGUGAAACUAUAUCAUUAUAUACCAAAUUGGUCAUUCAAAACAUGCAUCAACCUAGCCAUAUUAACAUAAACCAUCAAUGCAUCAAAGUACCAAAAAUACCACAACUCAAAGAAACAUUUACAUACCACAAACAUCAACUAACCCUUAGAUAUAAGUUCAACUAUACAUGCCAUUAUAACCUUAACCAACACAUCAAAAUCCACCGAUAUAUAAUUGCUGGGUAGUGUGGUAGGUCUCCGACGAGCUUCCAAACCGAUCGAGCUUCUAAUAAUCUAUAAAACAUAGGAAAGAAAACUAUGUAAACAUAUAAUGCUUAGUAACUUCGUAAAUCAUGAACAUAACUUACUAUUUCAACGCAAAACCUUAUAAAAUAGACAUGAAUCAAUCCAACAUAAGCUUGGCACAAGCUUAAGCAUCAUCAACAACACAAGUUAGUGCUUUAACACAUAACUCAACAAAAUCAUCGCAUGGUAAGAUAUAAUACAUGAACAGAGCACCAAUUAAUUCAUACUUUCCAUAAUCAUGAAUAUAAAUACAUUGAUUUCUAACAAUGUAUUUGUUAAUAUGCUUAUGUGUGUGAUGUGUUUAGGGUAUGUGGAAUAUAUUUGCAUAAUCUGAUACUGAUAGUUCUCAUGGUAUGUCCUGGUUCGCUAUGUCUAUAUAUGUCCGUAUGAUGUGUGAUUAUGUUAAUUUGUAUUUCGAAAUCGGCCAUAUGACCAUGCAUGUGACAUUGUGGCUUUUCUGUUAAGGUGAUUUAUAAUUAUGAUAUAUCUAUAUACAAAGUAUGAAAUCACAUGCUUACUGAUUUUUGUUAAGAAUAUGAAUGCAUGUUCAAUAUGCUUAUCAUUCUAUUUCAGUUUAUGCAUGCCACGUCACAUUGCAUGGGGUUAGGAUAUUAUGGUAUGGAGAAAGUGUCAGCAGUUUAAUCAUCUACAUUAUCUGGUGAUUUAUUUACAUUUCUGUUUACAUUUAUGAUGGCUCGACCACACACAUAUGUUGUUUUGACAGCUUGGCUACAAUAUAGUGGCUUGUCUACAUAUAUUCGAUCUGAUAGUUUUAACUGCAAUCUCUGGUGGCAUUGACCAAAAUUAUUAUGUUGGUGUGAUUAUAUGGAUGAGUUUUGGGGAACUCUAUUUGGUGUGUACCGGAGUUGGGCAGGAUGUUUUAUAUAUAUAUAAAAAAAACCAGCAUUACAUUUUUGGAAAAAUAUUGCAUUGGCAUAAGCACGCAUUCUCAGUUUUGCUCAAAUCAUCGUUAUGAAAUUCUCUGUGAUCCUGUGAAUUGUUGGAUGUGUUAUUUGAGUUCUAGGUUUGAGUUUGUUACACACUGAGCUUUAUGGCUCACCCCUUUGUUUAAUCUUUGACUUUUAAGGUAAUCUUUGAGUUUGGGAUCGGAUGGCGUGCGGGAGCUCGGAUUGUUUUCUCGAUUAAAUAAAUAAGAUUGCUUUUCUGGACUUUUUGGACUGUAAAGUUAUUUUUGGACUGGGUUUUUGGUUAUCGUUCUUUUUGUUGGAUUUGAUAUUUUUAACAUUAGACUGCAUAAUCGUAAGAGUUAUCAAACUAAAAUUUUGUUUUCAAAACGAAGAAAUCUGAAUUUUCUGCUGCAACGAUUAAGUAAUCACGUAUUUUUCUGUAAACAAAUAUAUGGUUUUUAACAAAUGUUUGCCUUAGUAUUGGAAAUGAUCUGCCAACAUUAGUACUUUCAAAACAUGCAAUUUUGAAUUCAAAUUCUGGGUUUUAAAUAGGUGUUUUCAGACUUUGGUUUUUCUAAACAUCUAUGAGAGUUUUGCCAAUUUUUAUGUUUUCGAAACAUGCACUGAGUUUGAUUAAAACAAAAGUUUUUGAACAAGUUGACGUAAAUAUUCCUCAAUAUCUGUUUAUAACUUUUAUGUCGGGUUUAAGUUGUUACACAAUUACUCAUCCUUGCUAUAACCUUAUAACGUUGUCAUUAAAAAAUUGGGGUUGUGAUACUUUUUCAAUUAAGUUUUACUUUUAUAGGUGUUGACAGCCUAAUAGAUAAUUUUUUAGUGGACUUAUUCUUUGACAUACGGGUGAAAUAAUUAUCUCAACUUGGUAAACAAAUUUGGUUUUCAUUUUACUUUUUGGUUUUAUUGGAAGCUGUUUCAAGGUUUUGUUCAAUCAACGGUUGUAAUCCUUCUUUGAACGAGAGAGAAUUUGAAACAGAUUGAAGUGUAGACUUGACAUAUUUUAAUUUAAGCAAGCAGUAUGAUAAUUUUUAGGUGUUUGGGGUUUUUCAUUUCUCUAGGGGCAUGGUUUUGAGGAUGAAAGAUGAUUUUAUUAAGAGAGGUUAUGCUUUACGAUUUGUUAUUAGUUUUAUGAUUUGUUAUUAUAUUUUAGUUGUCAUUUAUUUCGUUUAGGUGAGAUUUAAUUUAAGGUGUUUUGGGUAUAAGUAAGGUGUGCUAUUAAUUAUAAUAUCGUUAUCUCAUUAGGGGUUUCGUAUGUAUAUAAACAAUCAAUUAAAAAUUAAAAUUUAUCUAACAAAGCAGUCAUAUCUUGUUAAUUGUUUAACUUAGAUGUAUUACUUUAUUUUGAAAACUUAACUGAAAAUAUUAAUUUUAAUAAUAAAUAAAAUGGCACUACUGUUAAUAAUAUAUAUUAACACAUUUGAUAACCUAUAUAUAUGUAAGUAUAUAUGUAUGUACACCUUGUAAAAACAUGAUUAUAUAUAAACGAUAACACAACGGUAACAUCUAGAAUAUAGAAUUUAUCAACGGUUAUUAGCCUUAUGUUACCAUACAUAUAUAUAUAUAAUGAUGCUAAAUUUAUAAUAAUAAAAUAUCUCCCCAAAACAACUCAUAAACACCAUUAGUAUUAACAAUAAGAAAGUUUAACUAAUGAAAAAAAGUUAUAAUAAUCAUGUCACUUUGUGUGCCAUGUGGUGAACCCAUGUGGUCAUGUCCGACCAAUUAACAUUACUUUUUUUUUAACAUACUAAUCCUAAGAAAACAACAAAUUUCUUGAUAAAAAGUUUUAUCGAAUUCGACAACAAAAAUUAUAAAUAAAGACUCUCCCUUAAUUAAUUAAGUUUUUAAUAUAAAAUGAAUACUUUUAUAUUGUUCCACAUCUGUGUUUCAUCUUGUUCCAAUCAUUCUCAUUUUACUCCUCUUGCAAUAACCAAACACUGCUUUGCUUGAUUUCUGUUUGAACCAGCAAUGGCCGAAGCAAUUGCAUUCAACCUCGCCCUAGAGCUUAUUACUAAAUUGAGCUCCUUUACUAUUGGAACCCACCCAUUGUUUGAAAAGUCAAAAAGGGUGGGCACCGAAAGUAGAAAGUAAAAUUGGUUGGCAAGUUGGGUUAAAAGUUGGCAUGGGAUAAUUGCAAUUUUGGUCCCUAAUUGUAUAGGGACAUUGCAAGUUGAUCCUUGAACCUCAACUAUAAAUAGGCCUAACCAUUUCUUACUUUCUUCAUCCCACACUUGCCAUUCUCUACUUAAGGCAAUUGUUCUCUCUCCCUAUUUGUAAACUUUCACUUGUAUUUUUGGAGUGAAAUAUAUUUGGUAGUGCCCGAGGACGUAGGCAAAAUUUGCUAAACCUCGUUAAAAUUCUAGUGUUCUUUAUUGUUUAUUCUGCAUAUUUUGCAAGUGUCAUUGUAGUGAUUUAUUGUGCUAUUAAAUUACGAUAGAGGGAUAUUCUGGCUAGGAAAGAUCUGGUAUGUAAGCGAUCCUCGUGAUCCACCUCUCUUUCCUGGGAAUUGAACUUAGUGUGAUUUUUCAGUACAAUAAUUUUACUCUUUCACACGCUUCCGCGCAACAAUUGGUACCAGAGCCAGGUUCGUACUUGGGGAAUACGAUCGUUUACGGUACUAUUCACGUAUACUGCACUAUUCACGUAUAUGGUACUAUUCACGUAUACGACACUAUUCACAUAUACGGUACUGUUCACGUAUACAGUAGUUGGGAUUGAGGAGAAAAAUGGCAGCAGCAUCGUCAUCAGCAAGGACUACUGUGACAAAUGCAAAAUUUGAAGUAGAGAAAUUUGACGGUACCAAUAAUUUUGGUAUGUGGCAAUGUGAGAUCUUGGAUGUCUUAUGUCAGCAAGAGCUAGAUAUAGCCCUUGAAGAAAAACCUGACAAGAUAGAUGACAAGGAGUGGGCCAAGAUCAAUAGACAGGCGUGUGGUACAAUCCGCCUAUGUUUGGCCAAAGAACAGAAGUACUCUGUCAUGAGGGAGACAUCAGCGAAGAAGUUAGGGGAUACACUGGAAGAAAAGUUUCUAACGAAAAGUCUUGAAAAUAGGCUUUAUAAGAAAAAGAAACUUUAUCGAUUCACGUAUGCACCCGGUAUGUCGAUGAAUGACCAUGUGAACUCAUUCAAUAAAAUUUUAGCAGACUUGCUAAAUUUGGAUGAGAAAUUUGAAGAUGAAGACAAGGCAUUAUUGUUUUUGAAUUCCCUUUCUGAUGAAUAUGAUCAUCUUACCACCACAUUGCUUCAUGGGAAGGACACGAUCACAUUUGAUGCAGUCUGUAGUGCGUUGUAUAGAUCUGAGACUCGAAAGAAAGAUAAAAGAGAUCACAGAGAUACAACCGCAGAAGUCUUAACAGUAAGAGGUCGUUCACACAGCAGCAAAUCUGGUAGAAGGGGAAAGUCCAAAGGGAGACCCGCCAAAGAUGAAUGUGCCUUUUGCCGUGAAAAAGGGCAUUGGAAAAAGAAUUGUCCUAAGCUACAAAAGGGCAAGGCUAUUUCUAAUGCAUGUGUAGCGGAGCAUGAAGAGGAGUCAGACUUUAGCUUGGUUGGCAUGGCAAUGGCAUGUCAAACGGAUGAGUGGAUUUUGGAUUCAGGAUGUACUUACCAUAUGUGUCCUAAUAAGGACUGGUUUUCUAGUCUUAAAGAGCUAGAAGGUGGAAUUGUUCUUAUGGGCAAUGAUAGUGCUUGUAAGACAAUGGGAGUGGGUACAGUCCAAUUGAAGAAUCACGACGGCUCAAUCCAAGUCUUGACAGAUGUUCGCUACGUACCUAGCCUGAAGAAAAAUCUCAUCUCAUUAGGGGCCCUAGAAUCUAAAGGGCUCACAAUCACUUUGAGAGAUGGAUUACUAAAAGUAGUAGCUGGGCAACUGACGGUGAUGAAAGGCACAAGAAGAAAUAACUUGUAUUUUUUAAAUGGAAGUACAGUUAUUGGAUCAACAUCAACAGUUUCUACAAAAGAUGUAGAUUCAGAGGCUACCAGAUUAUGGCAUAUGCGAUUGGGACAUGCUGGUGAAAAAGCUUUGCAGACAUUGGUGAAGCAAGGCUUAUUGAAAGGUGCAAAUUCUUGCAAAAUUGAAUUCUGUGAACAUUGUGUUCUGGGCAAGCAGAAGAGGGUAAAAUUUGGUCCAGCAAUUCACAAUACGAAAGGAAUUCUGGACUACGUUCACAGUGAUGUGUGGGGACCUACCAAAGUAGCUUCUUUAGGAGGUAUGCACUAUUUUGUUACUUUUGUUGAUGAUUAUUCAAGAAAAGUAUGGGUGUAUCUAAUGAAAAGAAAAAGUGAAGUUUUGGAUGCAUUUCUGAAAUGAAAGAAGAUGGUGGAGACUCAGACUGGUCGAAAGGUCAAAUGACUUCGAUCAGAUAAUGGUACUGAGUACAAAAACGAUCCAUUUCUACAAGUAUGCCAAGAUGAGGGCAUUGUGCGACACUUCACUGUUCGGGAUACACCACAGCAAAAUGGGGUGGCAGAACGAAUGAAUCGAACUAUACUGGAGAAAGUUCGAUGUAUGUUGUCCAAUGCUGGAUUGGGCAAAAAAUUUUGGGCUGAGGCAGUUACAUAUGCGUGCCAUCUAAUUAACCGUUUGCCAUCAGCUGCAAUAAAUGGAAAAACUCCUAUGGAGAUGUGGACUGGUAAAUCUGCUACUGAUUAUGAUUCUUUGCAUGUAUUUGGUUCCACUGCAUAUUAUCAUGUAAAAGAAUCUAAGUUAGACCCAAGAGCAAAGAAAGCAUUAUUCUUGGGUAUAACUGAUGGAGUAAAAGGAUAUCGUCUCUGGUGUCCUGAUACAAGGAAGAUUGUUUUCAGUAGAGAUGUGACUUUUGAUGAAUCAACCAUGUUGAAGUACAAGGAUUCACAAAAGGAUGACAAAACCAGUAGUACUUUGCAGCAGGUGGAGCUUGAAAAGGUUAACGAUGAUCCAGCUAAUAUUGAAGGGACAAAUGAUGAAGAGGUUCCUACCCAAGAACCUCUACAGCAACAAGAUUCAAUUGCAUAUAGAAGGCCAAGAAGAGAGAUUCGUAAGCCUGCUCGCUUUGAUGAUAUAGUGGCCUAUGCACUUUCAAUUACAGAUGAUGAUGUUCCUUCUACUUACACAGAAGUAAUAAGUAACCCUGAUGGUGUAAAGUGGAAGCAAGCAAUGAAUGAAGAAAUGCAGUCUCUUCAUAAAAAUAAGACCUGGGAGUUGGUGACACUACCCAAGGGAAAGAAGGCAAUUGGAUGCAAAUGGGUAUAUGCAAAGAAGGAAGGAUUUCCUGAUAAAAAUGAAAUUCGAUACAAGGCUAGAUUAGUAGCAAAGGGUUACGCUCAAAAAGAAGAAAUAGACUACAAUGAAGUGUUUUCUCCAGUUGUGAAGCAUUCGUCUAUUCGAAUUUUGCUAGCCUUGGUUGCGCAAUAUGAUCUUGAACUAGUUCAGCUUGAUGUGAAGACCGCGUUUUUACACGGUGAUUUGGAAGAGGAAAUCUAUAUGACUCAGCCAAAUGGAUUCAAGGUUGCUGGAAAAGAAAAUUGGGUUUGCAAACUGACAAAGUCGCUUUAUGGAUUGAAGCAAUCUCCGAGGCAGUGGUACAAGCGAUUUGAUCAGUUCAUGAAAGGGCAAAGGUACACAAGAAGUAAAUUUGAUCAUUGCGUGUAUUUUCAGAAGCUACAAGAAGGAACUUUCAUAUACUUGCUCUUAUAUGUUGAUGAUAUGCUAAUAGCAUCUAAGAGCAAAGUUGAGAUUGAAAGAUUGAAGACUCAACUCAAUCUCGAAUUUGAGAUGAAAGAUCUAGGAGAAGCUAAAAAGAUUCUCGGCAUGGAAAUAUGGGGAGAUAGAGCUCAUGAUAGAGUUAGCUUAUCUCAGAAGCAGUAUUUGAAAAAGGUACUACAGCAGUUUAGCAUGAACGAGCAGACAAAACCUGUAAGUACCCCGUUGGCUUCUCAUUUCAAGCUUUCUGCACAACUAUCUCCUUCGACGAAUACGGAACGAGAAUACAUGUUGCAAGUUCCGUAUUCUAAUGCAGUGGGUAGCUUGAUGUAUGCAAUGGUGUGUACAAGACCCGACAUUUCACAGGCAGUUAGUAUAGUGAGCAGGUAUAUGCAUAAUCCUGGAAAAGGACAUUGGCAAGCUGUGAAAUGGAUUCUACGGUAUAUUCAGAAGACCGUGGAUGUUGGAUUACUGUUCAAGAAGGAUAAUACACUUGGUAAAGGUGUUAUUGGGUACGUUGAUUCUGACUAUGCCGGUGAUUUGGACAAGCGAAGAUCAACCACCGGUUAUGUGUUUACACUUGCUGGAGGACCAAUAAGUUGGAAGUCUACACUACAGUCUACAGUUGCAUUGUCAACCACAGAAGCCGAGUACAUGGCUGUAACAGAGGCUGUAAAGGAGGCUAUUUGGUUACAAGGUAUGGCUAAAACCUUGGGGUUGGUUCAGGAGCAUAUUAACGUGUAUUGUGAUAGUCAAAGUGCUAUUCAUUUAGCAAAGAAUCAAGUCUAUCAUGCACGUACAAAACAUAUCGACGUACGAUUCCAUUUUGUGCGGGAAAUUAUUGAAGAGGGGAAAAUUUGUCUUCAGAAGAUCAAGACUGCAGAUAAUCCCGCAGAUAUGAUGACCAAGGUGGUAACAGCAACCAAGUUCGAACAUUGUUUGAACUUGAUUAAUAUCCUGCAAGUUUAACAGUUGAAGAAGGCACUAUCGAGUAUUGUUGUCAAAGGCAGAAAGAAUUGUGUGAAGAUAAGAUUAUCCUAAUCAAAUCUUCAAGGUGGAGAUUAUUGGAACCCACCCAUUGUUUGAAAAGUCAAAAAGGGUGGGCACCGAAAGUAGAAAGUAAAAUUGGUUGGCAAGUUGGGUUAAAAGUUGGCAUGGGAUAAUUGCAAUUUUGGUCCCUAAUUGUAUAGGGACAUUGCAAGUUGAUCCUUGAACCUCAACUAUAAAUAGGCGUAACCAUUUCUUACUUUCUUCAUCCCACACUUGCCAUUCUCUACUUAAGGCAAUUGUUCUCUCUCCCUAUUUGUAAACUUUCACUUGUAUUUUUGGAGUGAAAUAUAUUUGGUAGUGCUCGAGGACGUAGGCAAAAUUUGCUGAACCUCGUUAAAAUUCUAGUGUUCUUUAUUGUUUAUUCUGCAUAUUUUGCAAGUGUCAUUGUAGUGAUUUAUUGUGCUAUUAAAUUACGAUAGAGGGAUAUUCUGGCUAGAAAAGAUCUGGUAUGUAAGCGAUCCUCGUGAUCCACCUCUCUUUCCUGGGAAUUGAACUUAGUGUGAUUUUUCAGUACAAUAAUUUUACUCUUUCACACGCUUCCGCGCAACAUUUACUCUCUCUCAAAUUGGACUGUGUUGGAAUGUCAAAGAUGACCUCGACGACCUCAAAAGCACCGUCUCUACAAUCAAAGCUGUGCUUCUUGACGCAGAAGAGCGAUCCGUGACCAGCCAUCUCGUCAAAGAUUGGCUUGAAAAGCUGAAAGAUGUACUUUACGAUGCUGACGACUAGCUCGAUGAUUUCUCUACCGAAGCUUUGCGGAAAGAUCUAUUGGGUGGGAACAAGCUGACGAAAGAGGUACGCCUUUUCUUUUCGAGCUUAAACCAGUUUGCUUACGGUCUCAAAAUGGGUCGGAAAAUUAAGACCAUUAAGGCCAGGUUGAUUUCAAUUGGAAGUGAAGCCAAGGUGUUCAACUUGGUAGAGCGUGACCGUCCCAUGGAAACCUCUUUCAUGACUAAAAAGAGGCAGCUAACGCACUCUAAAAGAUAAAAUAAUAGGGAGGGGCGAUGAUAAAGCAGCUCUUCUAAAACUCGUGUUAGACUUUUAAAGUGAAGAGAAUGUGUUGGAACAAUGGCAGUAGCAAAAAGAAAAAGAACAAGACAGAGAACAAAGGAGGAAGAAACAAAAACAAUUUACUUGCUCACAAACGUGCAGCAAGGAAGCAAUCUGCUAUACACAAGUGAUAUGCUUAAUUUUUCAAUAAGAAAAACAAUACAUUUAUAGCCAACUACAUCAGUUAUUACUACCUACUACCACUAAGUAGCCUAGUAACUUUAAAAACAUUGCUUGUACACAAACAGACCACCUAAACUAGUCAUUCAACACCUAAACAUAUCAAGCUGUCAUCAGCUUGUUCAUUUCCAAGUAGUUUAAUCAACAAAUAAACUAAAAAGAAAACCUUGCUGUUACAGUAAGUAUACAUGCUGCAGCAUGUCAUCAAGCUGCAUGCACUGUAACAGCAGAAUGGUUGGCCAAUUUCAACAGAAUGUUUACAUCAUUCCAAUUGUGGGGUUUGGAGGGUUAGGGAAGACUUCUUUGGCUCAGUUUGUCUAUAAUGAUGAAAUGGUUAAAAAUCAUUUUGAGUUGAUGAUGUGGGUGUGUGUUUCAGAUGUUUUUGAUGUCAAAAUAAUUGUAGAAAACAUGAUCAAAUCUGCAACAGGCAAAGCACCAGAUCAAAAUCUCGAAAUGGACCAAUUGCAAAAACAACUUCGGGAAAAAAUUGGUGGGAAAAAAUAUUUGCUUGUUUUGGAUGGCACUUGGAAUAAUGAGUGGGAAAAAUGGGUUAGUUUAAAAGAGUUAUUAGUAGGUGGGGCUAAAGGAAGUAGGAUCAUAGUAACUACACGCUCUUUGGGAGUAACAAAGAUUACUAGUAAAUGUCAUCCCAUUUGAAGCAUUGUUUUGCUUAUUUUCGACUAUAUCCAAAAGAUCAUGAAAUUGAUGUACGAACACUUGUUCAAUUUUGGGUUGCACAAGGUUUUGUAAAGCAAUUGAAUCCAAGUCAAUCUCUUGAGGAGAUCGGAUUUGGAUAUUUUAAAGAUUUAGUUGAAAGAAGUUUCUUUCAAGAGGUAGAAGAAGAUGGAUUUGGGGAUAUGAGAUGUAAAAUGCAUGAUUUAAUGCAUGAUCUAGCUGAAUCAGUAGCAGGGAUGGAGAGUAGUAUUAUAGAUUCAAAUAAAAUUGCAAGUGAUGUUGGUGAAAAAUGUCGCCACAUAUGAAUUAAUCCUUCAUUAAUUCCUUCAUUAAUUCCUUCGUUUAAGGGAAAAAAGUUGCGAACCUUUUUACAGAAUGCAACCGUGGGAACUCCAAAUUUGAGCCAAGAAACUUGGGAUUUUGUAAUUGCAAAUUGUAGAUGCUUGCGUGUAUUGGAUUUGCAAUGGUUAGGUAUUGAGAUGAUUUCACCCUCCAUUUACAAGUUGAAACAUUUGAGGUACCUUGAUCUUUCUUGGAAUCCCGGUCUUAAGAUUCUCCCAAAGAGUAUUUGCAAGAUUCAGAAUUUGCCAGCGCUGAAACUUGAUGGGUGUAUUGGGCUUCAAGAAUUGCCAAAGAAGAUUGAAAAAUUGGUGAAUCUUACACAUCUUUGUUGUCGUUAUUGUAAUGGCUUAACUCAUAUGCCACGUGGAAUAGGGAAGCUGACUUCACUUGAGACGUUAAGCAUGUUUGUAGUGGAUAAAGAUGAGUCCCAUGGCGGUGCAGAUCUAAGUGAAUUGAGACUGCUUAACAACUUAAGGGAAGAGCUAGAAAUAAGAAAUUUGGGAUUCGUAAAAAAUGCAAAAGAGAAGUUUAAGGCUGCUAAUUUGAAAGAGAAGCAACAUUUGAGCUUGUUGAUUUUACGAUGGGAUGUUGAUUUUGAUGAUGAAGGUGAUGAUGAUAAAUCACUUGAAGACCUCCAGCCCCAUCCUAAUCUCAGGGUGCUUAAUAUUGGAGGAUGGAGGGGUGAUGCCAAGUUUCCAAGUUGGCUUCCUUUGCUCACAAAUCUCGUCACAAUUUACAUAAGUGGUAGUAAUUUCAAACAUCUCCCGUCCUUUGCGCAAUUUCCUUGUCUUAAACGGCUGGAGAUACAUGAUUGUACUAAGCUGGAGUACAUGGAUGAUAAUAGCCCAAAAGGAAGUCAAGGAGAACCACAAUCAUUCUUCCCAUCACUUAAGCAUCUUUCUCUCUGGGACUGUCCGAAUAUAAAGAGUUGGUGGAGGACGACAAAACCAAUCGAUGAUGAUUCCAAUGAGGACGACACAACAAUUUUGGGAACAUCAACCAUGGCAUUUCCUUGUCUUUCCUCUUUAACAAUUAGAAAUUGCCCUUUGACUUUAAUGCCACUAUAUCCAUCACUCGAUAAAGAUCUAAUGUUAUCGAAUACCAGUUCAAGGCUGUUAAAGCAGACAAUCAAGAUGAACAUCAAUGCUAAGGCCCCAUCAACUUCAACCUCUUCUCUUCCACUCUCCAAAUUGAAAUCUUUCGAUGUACACAACAUUGACCAGUUGGACACUCGCACACUAGGUGAGUGCCUGAACAUCUCACUAGCCUCAAAACAUUAAUAAUAAGAGAUUACAAGGAGGUUGAUUUAGAGGGCAUGCAAUUGGAACCCCUUAAGAAUCUCUCUCAUUUGAAGAUUGAUAAUAUUCCAAAGCUGGUGUCUCUCCCCAUUUGGCUUCAACAUCUUGUUCAAUUGAAAACAUUAAAAAUUCAUAACUGCAAUGGAUUGAGGUCACUCUUUCCUGUGUUCCAACAUCUCACUUUCCUUGAAGAUUUUGAAGUAAAGGACUGCAAGGAGGUUGAUUUAGAGGGCAUGCAAUGCGAACCCCUUAAGAAUCUCUCUCAUUUGAAGAUUGAUAAUAUUCCAAAGCUGGUGUCUCUCCCUAUUUGGCUUCAACAUCUUGUUCAGUUGAAAACAUUAAUAAUUCAUAACUUCAAUGGAUUGAGGUCACUGCUUCCUGUGUUCCAACAUCUCACUUUCCUUGAAAAGUUUGAAGUAAAGGACUGCAAGGAGCUGGAGUUAUCUGGAACUGGCAUCCAAAUAUUCCAAGAUCAUACAAGCCUACGCUUUCUAUGGCUGCAAAAUAUUCCAAAGUGUCGGCAGCUUCCGGAGUGGCUUCAACAUCUAACAAAUCUGCAACGGCUUUAUCCCGUUAAUUUGCCCAAUUUAACAUCUCUUCCGGACGAGAUGCGAUGCCUAACCAGUUUGGAGUAUUUACAAAUACGAGAAAUUCCUCAGUUGGAGGAAAGAUGUCGGAAGGACAUUGGCGCUGAUUGGCAUAAGAUUGCUCACCUCCCCCACAUUUGGUUGUAACAGGUUGGUCUGUCUUUGUUAUUUAUUUAUUUUGAUGACCUUAUCUUUUUUUUGAAGAAAAAUAAGAGUGGUAUAUUGAAUCUCCAAGUCAGGGGUCUGAUGCCAUUUUUCAUUGAAGUUGGAUACUGUUAAUUUCCUUGUUAAAAUCCCUUUGUUUUAAUCCUACUUUUUACUUAUCAUCUUUCAUAAUAUUUUUGCUGAUUUGUGCAGUAAGGCAUUGGAGAAAGGCAUUAGUCAACUUCAGUCAUUUUAUAUGCAUAAAAAGAGGUGCUAAUUUAUCUAUUUGCUUUUUACUUUUAAAUCAUAAUAAUAACUUGACAAUUGCUUCUAAGAAUUUAAUUCCAAAAAAUUAUUGAUGUUUAGAGAGAGGCCUAUGAAGCCUUCAAAAUGGUUGUAUUAUAUGCUCUGCUUUCUUCAUUUAAGCACUUACCUAUCAUAUCUUUAUAUAUAUAUAUAUAUAUUUAUGUUUUCUCUUAAUAUAUGCCAACCGAUUACUAUCUUAGAUGGUACCUGUGCUAUUGACAGGGUUUUGGAGGUAUUCAAAUUCAUAAUAUUCAUUGAUGCAUAGCACUCUUUUAGCUGUUUGAAAUUCCAACCAAAUUUAUUAUUGAAGGUCCAAACAGGAAAAAAAGGAAGAUGCUUCAGAAUAUUUUGUGGUGAGGUUGAAGUUGAUAAAAUGAUUCAUUAUUUAUAUAUCAACAGCAAUAUACUAAACACACAUAUGUGCAAAUAUAAGGCUGAUAAUAAUGGGAUUUGUAACAUAUUCUACGUUGGCAUUUAUAAUUUUCAGGUUCAUUGAUGCUUUUGGAAGAGUCGUUCAAGCAUGACAAUUGCCAGACAUAUUGCAUUUGAAAAAUUAUUAUUCCACUUUACAUGGAGCUUAUUAAGAGCUUGAUUCAUAGUAGGAAAACCAUCUGAGUGUUGAAUGUGAAUUUUCACUUGCAUAGCUAAAAUGAGUUGGGAGAGAAUUUACUUAAUUGUACUAAAGUGAUGUUGCAUCAAGUGUUCAAAGGGUUAGGCUUAAAUCAUUUCUUUAUACUAUGAAGGUCAUAGUGGAUUCAUUUUUGGACAAAGCUCCGCAGACAUAUGACAAGUUCCUAAUUGCAUAAACAUCUUAAUUGUACUCUUUAUUUUUCUUAUUGCAUAAUACGUACCAAAUCAAGAAAAAACACAUUUAUGUUUUUUUAGUGUUCCAAACAGUAUUCAAAUGAAGGGAUGCACAAUUGAUUACAAGACAACAAUUUUUUUAGACAGUAUUCCAAGGCUAUGUUCAAUUAUAAUGCUUGGAUUAGGAUCCUUCCAAAAGAUGUCGAUUUCCUGCCUGUAUAUACAUAUGACUUGUAUGUUGAUGCUUAUGUUGGCAGACAAUAAAUUACAAGUCGAAUAACACCUUGUAAUUUGUUCUUGUCGUUUAAACAAAACAUACGGCUUUUCCUUUGAAAUCUCGAUGCGACGAGGCACUGCAAUCCUCGAAAGGAAGGAAGGACAUGAAGGACAUGGGCAAUGGCAGGGGUGUUUCUUGGUGAGCUAAGGAAAUCAAAAUCUCCAUGGAGGAUUCUAGCCCAUCAAUUCCCUCUAUAUGGAAACAAUGAACCUGCAAACUAUAAAUAUCAGUAUACGGUAUGAUAAAAUUGAUCUGGUAUAGACCGAGCAGUGUCCAAAUGUAGAAGAAACACAUACCCUUACUAAAAAUAUAACUCCAUAUUUUGUGCACAAAUGGUGGCCAAACACAAAUCCGUUGUAUAUGCUUUUUGAUUCCAAGUUUAAGAAAGGGCCAAACAUUGGGCAUCCUCAUCCUCAUCUGUAAUAGUAACAAAUUCACAUUCCCAUUAGUGUUUACCCCUCAAAACUCAAUUCCAACUUGAUCAAAUUUACUUUCAAAACAUAACUUGAUUCAAGAUAAAAAUCAACUUGGACUUCUUUACCUAGCAAAAGAUGAACAUGAUUCUAAAAAAUUCAAGGUUUUCGAAACCUGACCAUAGUAAAACUGAUCAGGCCACCGAUUCAUUGGUUCAACCGGUGCAAUUAAAUAAAUCAUUAAAAAGUUCAUAAAAAAAUUAAAACCUGAUUCAAUGGCCAGGUUCAACCAGUUUUUCUCCCAAUACAAUCAUCUAUACCGGUUCCUGGGUCAAUCGAUUUAGUGCCCUUCUUCGAACCAAGAUCCUGGUCCGAUUCAAACAACCUUGACUAAUUAAACCUAAAAAAUUAUUUGUCUUAAGUUCGGAUUUCAAUUGGUAUUUUCAAUAUUAGUUCAAAAAAAGAAAAACCCUUAAUGUAGUCUUACAAACCACUCUAAGUCGGACAUGAAGGUAUUUAAAUUCGGCUUACUCAAUAGCCCAAGCUUGGCUAACCAAUAUUUAAACCGAAUUCCGCUAACAUUAGCAAAACCAAAACAUGAAAAUCUCAAUUGUAAAUAAGUUAGAGAUAAAUUUCAACCAAAAAGGGAAAAAACAUGAAGGAAGCAAUAGAAGUAGAAAAAUAACUGGAUUCCUAUAAUCAUAUGAUUAUAUAUAGAUACCAUGGACCGAUUUCGUACAAACAACAAGAUUGAUCCAAUGAUUAUCAUCACGAUGCACCAAUUCUACACAUCUACAUUUAGUAAGGCUGCUUUUUCAAUUUUGAUAUGUAAAACACUAAUGACUAAUUAAGCAACUCAGAUAAAGAAAAGGAUGUUGUUAAUGUGCAUAUAUAACCAUUCCAAAGUCUGAAUGAAGCAUGAAUGAAGCAUAUCUACUCCGCUCCCUUCAACACCUGUCAUUCUAGGAGUUAAGGAUUACACAUUCACCUGUUGUACCUCUGAAUGUAUAAAUAGGUUUGUGUGCUUUUUUCCUGCCUUUGGGGGGUUAAGCAGAUAGAUUAGCUAAAUUUUAUAGAAGGAUACAAUCGGUCAUCCACAUAUCCAUAAUGCUAACAUCGGGUAAGUUGUUCAUUUAUACGUAUAAAUAAGUUAUAUAACCACUGAUAUGAUAUAAAUUUAUGUAUUAUGUAAAUUAUGUAAGUUAUGUAUUAUGUAAGUUGUGUAUUAUGAAAGUUAUGUAAGUUAUGUAUUAUGAAAGUUAUGUAAGUUGUGUAUUAUGUAAGUUAUGUAAGUUAUGUAUUAUGAAAGUUAUGUAAGUUGUGUAUUAUGUAAGUUAUGUAAGUUAUGUAUUAUGUAAGUUAUGUAAGUUGUAUAUUACGUAAGUUAUGUAUUAUGUAAGUUAUGUAAGUUGUGUAUUAUGUAAGUUAUGUAAGUUGUGUAUAAUGUAAGUUAUGUAAGUUAUGUAAGUUGUAUAUAAUGUAAUUAAGUUAUGUGUUUCAAAUAUAAACCAAUAGGGCAUUUUUCUAAAAAAAAAUACUAAAUUUUAUUUAAAUAAUUUACAUUGUUAUUUUAUAUUAUAAAAUAUUAAUUUUGAAAGUGUCAAAAAGUUAACUUUAGUUUUUAUCCAAAUAAAUAUUUAACUUGAAUUUGUAUCAAAGUAAUUUGUUUAUGAAAGGAUAAGAUUUUAUUUUUAUGCGAUUUAUUUUAUUUAAGAAAAUAGCGUAGUCCAAAAAAUUUUAUAUUAUUUAUAUUAUUGAAUUGUUUAGUCAUAUUGAAUAUUUAUAUUAAAAUUGAAUUAUUAAUUAUACCAUAAAAUAUUCGUGUUAAAAUUUUAUAUUGGUAUCAAUUUCACAUUUUAUUUUUAAAAUAACUUUUAUUAAAAAAUUAUAUUUUUACAUUUAAUAUAUUUUUUAAUUCCAAAAAUACAUAGUGACAAGAAUCUGAAGAUAAUUGAAACAACUAAGCAAGCAAAGAAGCUAACCAAUAUAUAAAAAAUUAAUAAAUAAAUUAUGAGGUGAUGAAAUUUAAUAAAAAUUUUGAUUAUGGUGGACAAAUUUUAUUACGAUGGAUGACAGUGGUUACAAGGACUCAAAAUUAUUUUUUAAAAUUUAACUCGAACAAAUAUAUUCGAUUCGAAUCGAUUCGAUUCGAAUUCUAUCUCACUCGACUCGAUUCGAGAAAACUUCAAAUAAAAUUAGGAUAAUAAAAUGAGAUUCGAAAACUCGAUUAACUCAAAAAUUUUCGAUUCGAUUCGAUUCAUCGAAUACUCAGCCCUAGGAAGGUUGGUCAAAAAAGUUUUCAUACUUUUUUGAACCAGAUUAAGAAAAGAGCAUAGUCCAAAAAAGAUGGUUGGUCAAAAUCAAAAUCCCCUUAAUUAUCAACACUAACAAUUGGAUUUCAUUUAUUUUAAAAUUUCGAGAAUAUAAAUUAAGUAAAACAUGCAUCCAUACCAAAUAAAAAAAAUUCUUCUAUAGAAAUUUUACUUUUUUUUAAUAGCUUCACGUGCUAUGAUUUUCCGAUAUCGUAUGGAUUAAAGUAUAUAACAAAAUAAUAGUUUAAGUAUUAUUCAAUUUAGUCCAAAAUUCACAUUUUUGCAAAUUUACAUUUUUACCCCUAAUAUUUUAACUUCUUUACAGUUUAGUUCUUAAGCUCGUAAAUGGAAAUUUAUGCAAUUUCACCUACAUACCAUGCUAACCGAUUUACAUAGGGACUCAUAUCAACCCACAUAAAUAAUCAAUUCACAAUUUUAUCAUGAUAUUUUACUAUAUUUACAAAUAAGUCCCUAAAUAAUAAUUUUAUCAAAAAUCACUUCACAAAAGUUGUUUAUUUAACAAUAAUGAUUCAUAAUCUUUCAUUAAAAUUCACAUUUCACCUAUAUCGACAAUUUUAAUAAUAACAGUAUAGUUAAUUGUUAUCAAUAAGACGAAGUGAAGUUAAAUUACCAAUGCAUGGGUUGAUGAUGAGAUGCGUUGCCUAACCAAUUUGCAAAAGUUAAAUAUACAUGGAGUUCCUCAGUUGGAGGAAAGGUGUGAGAAGGACAUUGGUACGGAUUGGUAUAAGAUUGCUCACAUCCCUUCAGGUUGGUCUUUUCAUUAAUUUCCUUAUUGAAAUACUACUCCUACUAGUGUCACGGGGCUAGACCAUUCGUCUCGCAAACCGUGCGGCCUUAGGCGAUCCGUCUGCUCCAAACUCGCCUAAGUCAGCCUUUACGCCAAAAAGUGAGGAUUCCUUAGAAUUCCUCCAAGGCACCAAUUGAAGAGCGAAAGCAAUUUAUGCCAAAAGAAGCUAAGCCAAAGAACAACAGAAAGCCACAGAAAAGAAUGCACACAAGGUGUUUGAGUAAAUGCUCUCAGAACUCUAUUACUCUUAAGAAUUCAGAAUACAAUGGAAUGAGUACAAAUGAGGGGGAGGCUCUCUAUUUAUAGUUGAGCUCCCCCAAAACCGACGGUCAAGAUAAAUUUACAUCGACGGACGAGAUUAACCAUACCCCUUUAUUUUAGGGAUUUAUAAGAUAUACCAUAUCAAAUCUAAUCUAAUCUUUACAAGAUAUGAUUCCCUCUAUCUUCUAAGAUUAGUUACCAUUUUAGCCUAAGUUGCCAUGUCUUUAUCAUUGGGCCAACUAGGCUUCAAUCUGAUAGGCUUCUCCAAUAGUUCUCUGAAUCGGGCCAGCUCUCGUGGGCUAAAUGUUCCCCAUCUUAUCGAUAGACCUCCAUGGGGCGCAUCUUGUGCCAUGGUCACGGGCUUUGCACUUUGGCCAAAGCCCGUGACAUUCUCCCCCACCCAUUCUCGCAACGCCCUCGUUGCGACUUCCGAAUGGCACUGACUUGAUUCAACUUUGAACCCUCUCGUUGCCUUGGCUUCUUCCCGACUUGUCUUGCAAUCAGGUUGUCCCUUCCUGUGGAACCUUUGCCUUGGCUUCCGUCGCAUCUUUACUUGAACCGUUGCACUCGUUGGUACAUCUCGUUGGCAAGAAGUCUCCGCACUAACUUGCCCAAAUUUUGACUUGCUUCCUCUUGAAUCAUCUCGAUUCUCACACCUUCGUAUUGCCCACAGUCCCUUGGCCUCCUUGCUCAUGAACUUUGAAAGGGCCCCUACGACCUUGCCAAGCCAACAAGUCAGAAUUCAAAACACUAUCGAUGUGUUCGCAAUGUACCUUACUCGCAGCAUUUACUCGUCCCGACUGUUUUUGCAUCGCUCCCUUUUUCUGAAUGCUCGAUGCACAACCCACCUUUCCCAAAGGUGUCAGCUUUACAGUCGAAUCUGCAGGCUUCAUAUCGAACUCUUGCGCCACUAACACUUCCGAAGGAGCUUUCGUAACUUUCCGUUCUAUCGAGUCAAUAUUCCCCCCAUACGAAACAUCCUCGACUAGUUGGAUUGACGACAACACCUUUGCCCCCACCCUCAUAUCUCGAUGCACUGUUAACGGACCAGUGCAAAUAUGAAUUUGAUCGGCGCAUGGAUACAGAACUAUUUUAAUCCUGUCAAGGAAGUUUAAGCCAAGUACAUAAUCGUAAUCAUCUAAUUCGAUUACCUCAAAGUCUUCCUUACCCUUCCAUUCACCGAUUUGUAGUUCCACAUUCUGAACUACUCCCAAAGUUGGGGCCUCCUCAGAAUUUACUGUCUUGAUCUUCCUAUUCGAUUUCCUAAUCGACAGACCAAGCUUCUUUGCAGCCUUCUCUGAUAUGAACAAGUCUGAUGCUCCCGUAUCAAUAAGAGCACUCCGCUUCUGACCCGCAAUGUUGAUGUCUACAAACAUCAACCCUUCUCUUCCAUUCCUUUCCUUAGGAAUGAGCACCAUCGAAUUGACCCUCGAUGGCUUUUCCUCAAUAGGCUUCGCCUCUUUCGGCUCAUCACCUCUCUUGAUAGCCGAAACUGAAGAUACCUUUGGGCAGUCCCUCUUCAUGUGCGGUCCCUUGCAAAAGUAGCAACGUAACUUUCCCCUCUUUUCUUUCGGGCUAUUAGGUCUCCACUUCCCAUUUCAUGGUUUUCUAUCAUCACCAUCGCUACUGCUACCGUUGCCAUCAUAGCUUUGUCUCUCUUCAUCCUCCUCAUGGUACCCACCAUUGCCCCUCCUGUUGGGCUUGGAAGAUUCAAACCUGUCCCUUCUCGGAGCAAGUUCCACUAUAGACUCCGCUACCAUCAUGGCAUUGGUGAGUUCUUUAACUCCUCGACGUUACAAUUCUUGCCUCGCCCAUGGUUUCAGCCCAUCCGUAAAGGAGAAAAAUGCUUCUUUCUCGCUCAAAUCAGAAAUCUGAAGCAUAAGUUCACUGAACUCCCGCACAUACUCCCUAACCAUGCCUCGUUGCGUUAGCCGUCGCAACUUUGCUCGAGCUUCAUCCUCGGCAUACUCGGGGUAAAACUGUGCUUUAAAUUCAUCUUGGAACUCCUUCCAAGUCCCAAUCUCAGUACCACCACGUCUCACAUCAGUGGACCUACGUCUCCACCAUAACAAAGCAACGUCAGUGAAAUACAUAGCAGCAGUGUUUACCUUUGUAACAUCAUCCUCGAUGUUCAUCGCACGGAAGUAUUGCUCCAUGGCCCAAAGAAAGUUGUCCACCUCACUUGCAGACCUUGCCCCUUUGAAUGCCUUCGGCUUGGGCACAUCCAUCGCUUGUGGCUUCGGCUUUGAAGCCAACAUUCCAUUCCCUAUGGCAGCCUUGAAAAUCUUGAGCUCCCCCUUAAGCUCGUUGAUUUCCUCCUUCAAAGCUGUCACCAUAGCCUCGAGAGCAUCGUUCUUUUCAGCCAGCUUAUUCUCCGAGGAACCGAUAGUAUCCCACACAAAUUCCCUGAGCUGUCCUUGCAAUGUUUGCAACCCAUCAUUGUGUCUAUCAUCGACAUAGUCGAUCCUCUCCUUGACGUCCCUCAUGGACUCCUCAAGAGUGACAACUCGCUCCUCCAAAGCUGAAACUAAGUCCCUUGAUCGACUCGCUUUUCUGGCCCUUCCUCGGGUCUCCAUUGGCUCAUUCUGACCAACAACUUCUUUCGACAUCCCAACAGUGCCUUUGAACCAACAACUUCGAUAUUACUUGGUUCAAACCUUGCUCGGAUAUCACUUGUCACGGGGCUAGACCUUUCGUCUCGUAAACCGUACGGCCUUAGGCGAUCCGUCUGCUCCAAACUCGCCUAAGUCAGCCUUAACUCAAAUGAGGGGGAGACUCUCUAUUUAUAGUUGAGCUCCCCCAAAACUGACGGUCAAUAUACAUUUAAAUCGACGGACGAGAUUAACCAUAUCCCUUUAUUUUAGGGAUUUACAAGAUAUACCAUAUCAAAUCUAAUCUAAUCUUUACAAGAUAUGAUUCCCUCUAUCUUCUAAGAUUAGUUACCAUUUUAGCCUAAGUUGCCAUGUCUUCAUCAUUGGGCCAACUAGGCUUCAAUCUGAUAGGCUUCUCCAAUAGUUCUCUAAAUCGGGCCAACUCUCGUGGGCUAAAUGUUCCCCAUCUUAUCGAUAGACCUCCAUGGGGCGCAUCUUGUGCCAUGGUCACGGGCUUUGCACUUUGGCCCGUGACACUAGUACUACUUCUUUAACUAUCAUUUUUCAUAAUAUUUUUGCUAAUUUGUGCAGUAACCCAUCGGCCUUGGCUUGAAUUUUUCUGAUAGGCAUUUGACAAUUUUAAGAAUUUAGAUGCAGAAAAAGAGGUGGUAAUUACUUAAUUGCUUUACAUUUGUAAAUCAUAAUAAUCUUACAAUUUCAAAUGAUCUAAUAACUCCCAUGAAAUCCUCCUCUGUAUGCACAUUUGUUCUUUCUUUUCUUUUUUUUCUUUGUUGAAGAGUCCCGUUGAUGAUCUAAUCCUAAUUUUUGUUAGAUUUUGGCUUUCUUCUUCGGCAGAGCAUGGCAUAUAUUACAAGAAGUAGAGGUAAUAUCUGUUCAACUACGAUAUGUUCAUCUGCCAAAAUAUUCCAACAAAACAAAAAUGAUAAUACAUGUCAUCAGUUUCCUUAUAAUUUCCAAUUGAUCUGAUACAAAAUUAUAUAUAUGGAGUAUUUCAAGAGUUGUAAUAUAUAUGCCAACAGCUUAUAUGGUACCUAUGCUAUAGACAGAUUCUUUGGAGUCGUGUUGGAGAGACCUUAAACACGCAAUGUCGUUUUCAAGUAAGUAAAUUGAAUACGGGCUAAGAGUUAAGGAUUGAUGAAAAUGGAGGGGGAAGAGGGGGAUAGUUCACAAUAUUCAUUGAUGCAGGGCAUCAGGAGAGGAUCUUGCUUUAGAAUAUUCGGUGGUGAGGUUGAUGUAAAUAUUCCUCAAUAUUUGGUCAUAACUUUUAUGUCGGGUUUGGGGUGUUACACAAUUACUCAUUCUUGCUAUAAUCUUAUAACGUUAUCAUUAAAAAAUUUGGGUUGUGACACUUUGUCAAUUAAGUUUUACUUUUAUAGGUCUUGACAGCCUAAAAGAUAAUUUUUUAGUGGACUUAUUCUUUGACAUACGGGUGAAAUAAUUAUCUCAACUUGGUAAACAAUUUUGGUUUUCAUUUUACUUUUUGGUUUUAUUGGAAGCUGGUUCAAGCUUUUGUUCAAUCAAUGGUUGUAAUCCUUCUUUGAACGAGAGAGAAUUUGAAGCAGAUUGAAGUGUAGACUUAACUUAUUUUAAUUUAAGUAUGCAGUAUGAUAAUUUUUAGGUGUUUGGGGUUUUUCAUUUCUCUUGGGGCAUGGUUUUGAGGAUGAAAUGAUUUUUAAAGAGAGGUUAUGCUUUACGAUUUGACAUGGGUUUCAUGUACUUUGUUAUUAGUUUUAUGAUUUGUUAUUAUAUUUUAGUUGUCAUUUAUUUAGUUUAGGUGAGAUUUAAUUUAAGGUGUUUUGGGUAUAAGUAAGGUGUGCUAUUAAUUAUAAUAUCGUUAUCUCAUUAGGGGUUUCGUAUGUAUAUAAACAAUCAAUUAAAAAUUAAAAUUUUUCUAACAAAGCAGUCAUAUCUUAUUAAUUGUUUAACUUAGAUGUAUUACUUUAUUUUGAAAACUUAACUGAAAAUAUUAAUGUUAAUAAUAAAUAAAAUGGUACUACUGUUAAUAAUAUAUAUUAACACAUUUGAUAACCUAUAUAUAUGUAAGUAUAUAUGUACGUACACCUUGUAAAAACAUGAUUAUAUAUAAACGAUAACACAACGGUAACAUCUAGAAUAUAAAAUUUAUCAACGGUUAUUAGCCUUAUGUUACCAUACAUAUAUAUAUAUAAUGAUGCUAAAUUUAUAAUAAUAAUAAAAUAUCUCACCAAAACAACUCAUAAACACCAUUAGUAUUAACAAUAAUAAAGUUUAACUAAUGAAAAAAAGUUACAAUAAUCAUGUCACUUUGUGUGCCAUGUGGUGAACCCAUGUGUUCAUGUCCGACCAAUUAACAUUACUCUUUUUUUUUUAACAUACUAAUCCUAAGAAAACAACAAAUUUCUUGAUAAAAAGUUUUAUCGAAUUCGACAACAAAAAUUAUAAAUAAAGACUCUCCCUUAAUUAAUUAAGUUUUUAAUAUAAAAUGAAUACUUUUAUAUUGUUCCACAUCUGUGUUUCAUCUUGUUCCAAUCAUUCUCAUUUUACUCCUCAUGCAAUAACCAAACACUUCUUUGCUUGAUUUCUGUUUGAACCAGCAAUGGCCGAAGCAAUUGCAUUCGACCUCGCCCUAGAGCUUAUUACUAAAUUAAGCUCCUUUACUCUCUCUCAAAUUGGACUCUGUUGGAAUGUCAAAGAUGACCUCGACGACUUCAAAAGCACCGUCUCUACAAUCAAAGCUGUGCUUCUUGACGCAGAAGAGCGAUCCAUGACCAGCCAUCUUGUCAAAGAUUGGCUUGAAAAGCUGAAAGAUGUACUUUACGAUGCUGACGACUUGCUCGAUGAUUUCUCUACCGAAGCUUUGCGGAAAGAUCUAUUGGGUGGGAAUAAGCUGGCGAAAGAGGUACGCCUUUUCUUCUCUAGCUCAAACCAGUUUGCUUACGGUCUCAAAAUGGGUCGGAAAAUUAAGACCAUUAAGGCCAGAUUGAUUUCAAUUGGAAGUGAAGCCAAGGUGUUCAACUUGGUAGAGCGUGACCGUCCCAUGGAAACCUCUUUCAUGACUAAAAAGAGGCAGCUAACGCACUCUUUUAAAGAUAAAAUAAUAGGGAGGGACGAUGAUAAAGCAGCUCUUCUAAAACUCGUGUUAGAGUUUGAAAGUGAAGAGAAUGUUUACAUCAUUCCAAUUGUGGGGUUUGGAGGGUUAGGGAAGACUGCUUUGGCUCAGUUUGUCUAUAAUGAUGAAAUGGUCAAAAAUCAUUUUGAGUUGAUGAUGUGGGUGUGUGUUUCAGAUGUUUUUGAUGUCAAAAUAAUUGUAGAAAUCAUUAUCAAAUCUGCAACAGGCAAAGCACCCGAUCAAAAUCUCGAAAUGGACCAAUUGCAAAAACAACUUCGGGAAAAAAUUGGUGGGAAAAAAUAUUUGCUUGUUUUGGAUGACAUUUAGAAUGAGGAGUGGGAAAAAUGGGUUAGUUUAAAAGAGUUAUUAGUAGGUGGGGCUAAAGGAAGUAGGAUAAUAGUAACUACACGCUCUUUGGGAGUAGCAAAGAUUACUAGUAAAUGUCAGCCUUAUGUUCUGAAAGGCUUGUCUGAUAAUGAUGCUUGGUCUUUGUUCAAAGAGAUAGCAUUUGAACAAAGAUCUGCAGACUCAACAGAUUCAGGCUUUGUGGAAAUAGGAAAGCUGAUUUUGGAAAGGUGUUGUGGAGUUCCCUUAGUCAUAAGGACGAUAGCUGGUACGUUAUCUUUCAAAGAAACUAAAAGUGAGUGGAUUCCUUUUAAAGAUAACGAACUUGCUAGAAUAUCUCAGAGCGAAGGUGAGAUAUUACCUACACUUAAGUUGAGUUAUGAUCAUCUCUCAUCCCAUUUGAAGCAUUGUUUUGCUUAUUGUCGACUAUAUCCAAAAGAUCAUCCAAUUGAUGUACGAACACUUGUUCAAUUUUGGAUUGCACAAGGUUUUGUAAAGCAAUUGAGUCCAAGUCAAUCUCUUGAGGAGAUCGGAUUUGGGUAUUUUAAAGAUUUAGUUGAAAGAAGUUUCUUUCAAGAGGUAGUAGAAUAUGAAUUUGGGGAUAUGAGAUGUAAAAUGCAUGAUUUAAUGCAUGAUCUAGCUGAAUCAGUAGCAGGAAUAGAGAGUAGUAUUAUAGAUUCAAAUAAAAUUGCAAGUGAUGUUGGUGAAAAAUGUCGCCACAUAUCAAUUAAUCCUGCAUUAAUUCCUUUGAUUAAGGGAAAAAAGUUGCGAACCUUUUUACCGUAUCCAACCGUGGGAACUCAAAAUUUGGGCAAAGAAACUUGGGAUUUUAUAAUUGCAAAUUGUAGAUGCUUGCGUGUAUUGGAUUUGCAUUCUUUAGGUAUUCAUAUGAUUUCACCCUCCAUUUACAAGUUGAAACAUUUGAGGUACCUUGAUCUUUCUCACAAUUACAAUAUUAAGAUUCUCCCAAAGAGUAUUUGCAAGAUUCAGAAUUUGCUAGCGCUGAAACUUGACCGGUGUGAUGGGCUUAAAGAAUUGCCGAAGAAGAUUGAAAAAUUGGUGAAUCUUACUCAUCUUGCGUGUAGUGAUUGUUGGGGUUUAACUCAUAUGCCACGUGGAAUAGGGAAGCUGACUUCACUUGAGACGUUAAGCAUGUUUGUAGUGGAUAAAGAUGGGUUCCAUGGCGGUGCAGAUCUAAGUGAAUUGAGACUGCUUAACAACUUAAGGGGACAUCUAGAAAUAAGCAAUUUGGGAUUCGUAAAAAAUGCAAAAGAGAAGUUUACGGCUGCUAAUUUGAAAGAGAAGCAACAUUUGAGAUCGUUGGUUUUAGAAUGGAAUGCUGAUAUUGAUGAUGAAGAUGAUGAUGACAAAUCACUUGAAGACCUCCAGCCCCAUCCUAAUCUUAAGCAGCUCUAUAUUGCAGGAUGGGGGGGUGAUGCCAAGUUUCCAAGUUGGCUUUCUUUGCUCACAAAUCUCAUCACAAUUUACAUAAGUCGUAGUAAUUUCAAACAUGUCCCGUGCUUUGCGCAACUUCCUUUUCUUAAAUGUCUGCAUAUACGUAAUUGUGCUAAGCUGGAGUACAUGGAUGAUAAUAGCCCAAAAGGAAGUCAAGGAGAACCACAAUCAUUCUUCCCAUCACUUAAGCAUCUUUGGCUCUGUGACUGUCCGAAUAUGAAGAGUUGGUGGAGGACGAUAAAACCAAUUGAUGACGAUUCCAACGAGGACGACACAAUAGUUAUGGGAACAUCAACCAUGGCAUUUCCUUGUCUUUCCUCUUUAACAAUUCAAAAUUGCCCUUUGACUUUAAUGCCACUGUAUCCAUCACUCGAUGAAGAUCUAAUGUUGUCGAAUACCAGUUCAAGGCAGUUAAAGCAGACUAUCAAGAUGAACAUCAAUGCUAAGGCCCCAUCAACUUCAACAUCUUCUCUUCCACUCUCCAAAUUGAAAUCUUUCAUUGUACGCAACAUUGAGGGGUUGGACACUCGCACGCUAGAUGAGUGCCUGCAACAUCUCACCAGCCUCAAAAGAUUAACAAUAGGAGAUUGCAAGGAGGUUAAUUUAGAGGGCAUGCAAUGGGAACCUCUUAAGAAUCUCUCUCAUUUGAAGAUUGAUAAUAUUCCAAACCUGGUGUCUCUCCCCAUUUGGCUUCAACAUCUUCUUCAAUUGAAAACACUAGAAAUUCAUAACUGCAAUGGAUUGAGGUCACUGCUUCCUGUGUUCCAACAUCUCGGUUUCCUUGAAGAGUUUGAAGUAAAGGACUGCAAGGAGCUGGAGUUAUCUGGAGCUGGCAUGCAAAUAUUUCAAGAUCAAACAAGCCUACGCUCUCUAUGGCUGCAAAAUAUUCCAAAGUGUCGGCAUCUUCCGGAGUGGCUUCAACAUCUAACAAAUCUGCAACGGCUUUAUCUUGUUAAUUUGCCCAAUUUAACAUCUCUUCCGGACGAGAUGCGUUGCCUUACCA